rnacentral:lncRNA from 1 species
UCCGGUUUAACUCGGCGUAGAAGUGUAUAGUGGACAAGCUGUCCGUUGAAUUUCAUAUGUUCAGGCAGGUCUCAUAAACCACCAAAACAGAAAUUCUUAAACCUAGAAUUCAAACGUUGAUCAACCAUGACUUGUUUGAAUUCAUUAAAUAUUUUCAAAUGGGACCUAACGGAUAUCUUAGCCGAAAAUGAUCCGACAUCAUUCAGGACUGUGGCAAGGUCGUACCUCUCAGCCGAAAUAAACUUUGCACAGUGGGGCAAGAUCAGUGCUUCCUCGUCUAUCCUAGCCUCAAAUUCUACUUCCUCCGGCUUAUCUCGAAUCGAAGCUUCAACAGCUUCCUCACUGCAAUUUCUAUUCUUCGAUUCAUCGACUACUCAUUUUUUUCUCAGACCUAUCAAAUUCUAUAGCCUUGCGUUUGUUACCUCUAGCCAUUUGUUAUGAUCUACGGACAAAAACUAACAUUUCUCAGCUAUAACAGCAAAUACAACACCUAAUUGACCUAUCAGUCUAUGGACAUAGCAGCAGUUGCAGCACAAGAAAAACCAAUUUGCAGAACAAGUUUCUUCCAAAACAACUCCAUCACCCACAAGAACAUGUAUCUAAAUCGCCAUUAUAUUGAACAAAAAUAGGAAGGAACCUAGAUUUUUAGAACGUAAAUAAAAACAAAAUCGCAAAAAAUUCUCAAUGCAAUCGUCGAGGAAAAUUAAAAUCCAACAAAAACAAUGCAAAAACAAAUUGAAUACUAACUUAAAAACACAAAUUAUAAGUAAAAUCAAGCCCUAUUUUUUUAAAAAAAUUUCAAUUUACAACAAAUAUAAUACCUAAUCGACCUAGCAAUCUAUUAACAUGGCAGCAGUUGCAGCACCAAAAAAGCCAAUUUGCAGAACAAGUUUCUUCCAAAACAACUCCAUCACCUACAAAAACAUGCAUCUAAAUCACCAUUAUAUUGAAUAAAAACAGGAAGGAACCUAGAUUUUUAACAUGCAAAUCGAGAAAAAGUAGCAAAAAAAUCUCAAUGCAAACGUCAAGAAAAAUUAAAAUCCAACAAAAACAAUGCACAAACAAAUCGAAUACCAAUUUAAAAACACAAAUUAUAAGUAAAAUCAAGCCCAAUUUUUUCAAAAAAAAAUCAAUUUUUCGGGUCCAAAUAUCAAAUAUGCAGCAAAGAAAUCCCCAACAUGAACAUGCUUCUACAACACCCUUACAUUGGAGAAAAGUUUUAAAAAAAAUCACAUAUCUUGCCACAUUCCGAUGAAAUUAGUGAAGAAAUUUCAACAUGCAAUCGCCAAGGAUAAUCGAUAUAAAACCAAUUAUUCAUCAAAACUCAAGUAAAUACCAACUAAAAAUAACCACUUUCAGUGAAAUCAAGCCCCGUUUUUAAAAAAAAAUUCAAUCUUUUUUAACUCCAACGACUUCACCCGCCACAAACGAGUUCGAAAAAAAAUGAAAAAACCCCAUCAAUAUGAAGCACAAAUUAACCGGAACAAGAAUAUAACUUACCUAAAGUUGAAGAUCAAAGUUGAAGCUGAUUCACAUGAGCUCAAAAUUGAAAAUGAUGAAAAGGGAAGAUGAAGAGUGUUGUUGUAAAGAGAGAAAAUGGGAGAGAAUUUAUUUUUUUGUAUUUAAUGGAAGAGUAGGGUUAAAAAUGUAUUUAAUAAAUGCAUAAGGGGUUCCGAAAGAUUUAAAAAAUACAUAAGGGGUGCGAAAAAGUUUUUUUAUUUUACAAUUAAAUCUAUGACCCACAAAAUCCUAAAAAAUUAGGUCGAGGCAAAAGAAAUGUCUAUUUCCCAAAAUAAGUUUUCAAAGUGGACUUAUAGCUAAAUCUUCUCCCUAAACUUGCUGCUGCAGAUGGCAUGUGCAUGAACCAAACCCCAAACAUGCUACCUGCCUCGGGUCUUUCCAACCCUAGGUCCAUUUCUUCCCACUUCAUUGGUCAAUAUGAUGGAAACAAAGAUGACAUGAAGAUAUCUAAGACAACGAACAUCUCAGUGGCUCCCCUUGGCAUAUGGGAGACUCCAAAGAUUGUGACAUCACUAGGAGGAUCGGACCUGUUGGGGCGAAUACCAUAAUGCCAGCAGGUAUGACAUGUUGGAGUGGAAAUUCUGAACAUAUUUGUGACGUAAAAGCUUACCUUUUGAAACUCAGAACUUUUUCUAACUAUUUUAUUGAAUUCUUUAGCAAUCACUGAAGUCCUUUAGAAAUAUUUUAGUUUCAAUGUGACUUAUUUAACCAAGUCUUCAUUUACGUUUUGUGCAGCAGUUCCACACGCUAGGAAAGCAUCUUUGGCUCGGUUUUUAGGGAACCGGAAGGAAUGGUAAAAUGCUAAAUGUCUCUUGUUUUUCUUUAGGCUUUAGUUUACAUAUGCUUUUUCUGGAUCACUAUCGUUAGCUAGUUCUCUUUCGUGGCUUUCUAGAAAUUAUUAAUGUGAAUGCAAGUUUAUGCAUUAGUUGUUCUUUUUGAUCGUCGUCGCUAUUUCAAAUAUGGCUUAUAGCUAUCUGGCAUUUUCUGUAGUUUUGAUUCAGUCAUAGAUUGAGGCACAUACUGUAUGUCUAUUGGAUACUUGCAGACACAAUUUAAAAAGCAUUGCUAUUGAACUGCUGAUCAUGUUUGCAGGGCGAUUGCUCUCGAGGCUGCUUAAUACCGUAAAUAAAAGAAGCAUAAUCUAUUAUUCCGAUCACAGUUGUCGAAAUAAUUAUUUUAUUAGUUUUUUAAAUAUUUAUUUAUUAAAAUUCUAACUAUAGUAGUCGGAAUAAUUAUAAUUAUUAAAUAAUUAUUUAUUAAAAUUCCUACUACAGUAGUCAGAAUAAUUAUAAUUAUUAAAUAAUUAUUUAUUAAAAUUUUGACUACAGUAGUUGGAAUAAUUAUAAUUAUUAAUUAAUUAUUUAUUAAAUUUCCCACUAUGGUAAUUGAAAUAUUUAUAAUUAUUAAAUAAUUAUUUGUUAAUUUUUUUACUACAGUAGUCGGAAUACUUAUAAUUGUUAACUAAUUAUUUUUAAUUAGUUUAUUAAUCUUCCGACCACUGUAGUCGGAAAUAUUUUUCCGACAAGAUAUAUUUCGACUACUAUGAUACAGUCGGAAGGUUGUUGGAAAUACCUUAUUUUUCGACUACAUUCUAGCUUCAGCUGUUAGAAAAUUACUAAUUUCUUGUAGUGUUCGGUCUACAAGAUGUUAGCCACUAUUUUACAAAAAAAGUGUGUUGCACCUAGAAGUGGCCUUAGAAAUAAUUCAGACGGAAUCAUUCAGCAAAUUGUGAUCUUGAAAAGACAAUUCAAGCAUGGGUUAGAGUAUGUUCCAAGCAAAGAGUAUAAAAAGAAAGCAAACAAGAAGGAUCAAGAGUUAUCUCAAAAACUAUCGGAAUUCUACCAAUCAUUUUCCAAAUAGAUAGGUGAUGAUACGCGGAUGGUUCUACCAUUGAAUAAUUCCCCAAGAUAGUUGGGAUAAAGAAAGCUGAACUGCAGGAAAAGUCAUCGAACCGGACUUUUAUUUCCCUUAUUACUCCCUGGUUAAUGUGGAAGAUAAAAAAAAUGAAAAUUAAUUUUCUACUAAAUUGGUGGCAGCACAAAUGAGACUUGAUACCCAACCUUUUUGCUUCUGAAAAAAAAAAUGUAUGUAGCAAUUAUUAGAUAGGAAAUUACAACUUAUAGCAUAAUUUUCAUUUUGUCAAGUUAUAACAAAUCUUAUAAAAAAAAUAAAAACAUUUUUUUUCUUUUUCUAAAAAAUACGAAAAAGUAAUUUUUGAAAAGGAAAAUAAAGAUUUAAUACAACUAAUAUGCAAUAAUCCUUCCUUAAAUAUAGUUAUCCUUAAUUAUUGAUAUCAAUCCACCCCAAACCCCUCUAACCGUUUUUCUUUUCUCCUAUGUUAAUGCUUUCAUUAAGAGUUUCCAUCUUCAUACACUACCUUCUUUUUAUACACCAUGUAAUUGUUCCAGUCACAAAUUGGUAUUACCUAAAUUUAUACACUAUCUUCUUUAUAAAUUUUGAUUGCAACGAGGAACCACUAGAAACUCUCAACAACGGCUACCAAUCGCCAAAUUAAGACCUUUUAACUGGUAAAGAUCCUCCGUAGAAGUAUGGUUAUUGCUCCAUUAGGGACUGUUUUAUAAAUUGGUAUCACCUAAAUUUAAUAUCGCAAUCCAUAAAUAUCAAUUUAUAUAUCUAUUUCAUACAAAUGUGACAUGUAAGAAAACACUUUAUAAACUGAUUCAAUUCAAUUUAUAAUCUGAAGUAUAUCUUCUUAAUUGAAUAUCAUAAUCACAUUAUACUCAUUCCAUAGAAAUAUAACAUUUAAGUAACUAUUUUAUAAACUUUGAAUAUAAUAUUGAUAUUAUACAGGUUUCAUACAUGAAAUAAUUUAAAAAAUACAAGUUUGUAUAUUUAUUUCAUACUCUAAAAUAAAUAAUAACGUAUAAUAUUUCGUGAAAGUCGAUUUCUAUACCAAUUUCUACAAUCAUUAUCUUAUUUCAUACUGAUUUUACAAAGAAUUCAUACACAAAACAGUUUAAUAAAUAUAUACAAGAUAAUUUUCACUAUAUCAUUCUUAUGAAAGAUUACGAUCUAUAUUUAAAUCCUUAUUUAUGUUGUUACCAACACAAACUGAUUGUUCAAUAUUUUUUCUCUAAUAUCCAUUGACAUAUCUUUUAUUGUUAUAUACAAUGAGUAUUUAAUAAAGAAAUUGACAAUACUCCUUAUAUCAUAGUAUUUUUAAAGAACAAAAGGAAAAAUAGAAGAAAGAGAGUUUCUGAUGAAGGAGAACAAAUCGUUGGUUGAAUAAUGAUUCACAAUGAAACAAAUCAUUGGUUGAAUAUUUUAGGAAUUCUACGCGAAGGAAUAGAAUCGAAUUUUGGUUUAGACAUGAUUCACAAUGGAGAAUGAAUCAUGAUUACUACUAUAUAAUCUAACUUUACUUGUUUUUGAAAUAAGUAACAAAAAAUCUAAAACCUACCAAUUGUCAUGUCAUUUCAAGAUGGAAAUGAACAAAUCAAGAAAGAUAAUGACGAUUUGGAUACAAUGGUCCUAGAACAGUCAACAAAAUAUCCAAAGACUUCAAGAAUCAAGAAAAAGCUAACCUAUUAAAAACUGAAGUUGUUAACCAGGAAGACACUAACAAUGUUAAGAAGACUAGGAUCAAUGUCUAUCUUGCAAAAAACAAAGAAGGGAAAUCUUUUCAAUUCUCUGAAAGGCAAGUGGAUAGUUGAUCCUUCUGUCACGACCCAAAUCAGGGCCCUGACCGUGACGAGUAUUCCCCAACCCGAAGGCCCGGAACGCCCUCUGUCUAUCUGGUAAUCAUGCACAUAAUUCAUAAGAUCAAAGUAAUACGGAAUAGACACAAUAAUACGGAAACAUGGUCAACAAUUUAAAAUAGUUAAAGGCCUAAAAACAUGCCCAACAAUAUUUAAUAAAUAUCUGUAACAGUCUGCAAAAUCUCUACUGACAUACUAUCUAAAAAACUGGGACAAGGCCUCCAGCAGACCAAAAACCAUACUGAAAUAAAUACCUAAAUGACUAGGACUUCCGAAGCAAAGAAGGCUCACCAACUAAACUCUGAGACAAACCUGUCUAUAGACUCUACUGAGGAUCUGGACCCCUAGAUUGCGCCUUAAUACCUGGGAGGAAGGGGGGGUCAGCACAAUUGUACUGGCACGCGAAGUAAUUCAAAAUAGAGUAAUUGAACAUAUAUAUAUAUAUAAUACGUGAGAGAAAAUUUUCAUCAAACAUUAUGCAUAAAAUAGUUUCUGAAAACACAUAGGCACCUUCUGAAAAUAUGUAACAUGACUGUAAAUCUCAAACUCUGAUCUGUGUAUUACUUUUGAGUUAGUUGGUAUCCCCUACAAGUCUGAUAUUCCACAGGUGAUAUGGAAUCCACCAUUGACUCAGUGGGGAAACCUCAAACCCGAGUUGCUGCAAGGGUUGGUGUUCCUGAAUCUGAUACGCCACACUACACUUAAGUCAGUGUAUAAUAAUAUACCCGGGUCGGUAAACCACGGUUUUAGGCAAUGAGUUUCUUGAACUCAAGCCUUCUUCAGGGAACCACCUAACAUCUCUGUAUGCCCAUUUUUAACUUCUUCUGUACAUGCAACAUUCUGAAUGUCUAAAAUCAUGAUAGUUUAAAAUGUCUAUUAGUCUGAGUUUGAUAUAGCAUUGGUCUGAAUUGGUAUCAUCAUACCAAGACUUGCAAUUCAUGAUUUUUGAGCCAUAAUACAUUAAGCUAAAUAUUUCAUUUAAAUCAUAAUUUAGACCACCAAAAACAUGCAACUGAUAUAGAAGAUUUCUUGUUUUGAAACUCAAGUCAAAAUCAUGCAAAAACUUAAUCAAUAUAUGGUGGUCUAGUGCCUUUAGCAAAUCCAUGCACUCUUUCAUUUCAUGCAUUAUGAACAUUAAACAUUCAUGCUAGAUUCCCUCUUUAGUGACUUAAAACCACCUUAAAUCAUAACAAGAGUUCAAUCAUUUAAUAUAGUGCUUUUCAAGAAUGCAUUGCAAAAUAAUUUAUAUGCUAUGAGAAAUUUGAAAAAUUCAUAAUAAGAGGGAAUUCACCGAAAAUCAUGCUCUCAACAAGAAUUCAUUCUUAGAUACAUGGUUUCAUAUAUUCAUAUUCUCAAAUCACUUUGGGGAACGUCAAAAGACCAAAACAAUGAUGUUAAAACAUUUAAUACAUGAAUAUAUAUACAGAUUCAAAAAUACCAUUCUAAAACAUGAUUUUUCUAUGCCCAUGAGAAUUUAGGAAAACCUCGCGUACCUCUAUUUCAGAAAAUAAUGGGUGCUUCUUGAAGCCUGUGGAUUGGGAAUUCCGAAUCUCUAAUCAAUUUUGAAAACCCACGGUGAAAUCUUGAUUUAUUUAGGUUUUUAGUUUGAAACCCUUGAGAGUGUUCUUGAGAAUUUUUAGAUGAAUAUGGAUGUAUUUUGGAGAAUUGGGGACUGAAUUUCGUGUUUAUGGCUGAAUAAGGGUGGGAAAAGGACCAUUUUGCCCCAAAAACAGAGCGUUUAAGUCACUUGAAACCAUAAGAUAUGCGCCGCAUAUGAUAUCACAUAUAUUUACAUAGGUUCCGCAUAUGAUAUCGCCUAUAUUUACAUAGGCGCCACAUAUGAUAUCGCCUAUAUUUACAUAGGCGCCGCAUAUGCUAUUGCAUAUGCUUUCCAGUGGCCAUGUCUGAUUGGUUAGGAGAUGCAUACUACUUUGAAAGGCCAUAACUUCUUGCUCGGGUGUCGGAUAUUAAGAAAAUUGGUGUCGUUGGAAAGUUAACUCGAAGACCUAUCAUUUGACACAUAGUAGGCUCUCUAAUUCGAUAUAUACAGAGAGUUAUGGUUGAUAGAAUCUGACAUAAAUUACAACGUCCACUAAAACUUAAUCGAUCGAAAUAGUUUCAACUCAUCCUUGAGUUGAAGGACCUCUAUGGUCUAAAUUCAUGCUCAAAUGGAUUCAUAUACUACAUAAACAUGUCAAAUUGGCAUAGGAUUUAAGGCUCUAGGAUUAUGAAUGCGUUAGACUCAUGGUUUUUAUUCUAGGCCAAAAUACGGGUUGUCAUAUUAUCUCCUCCUUGGGAUCAUUCGUCCCCGAAUGAUGGAUAGAAUGUCAAAGUCUUAAGGGUAUGGGAUAACGCGGACAUAAUAUGUUCCUUAAGAAAGAAUACACUGAUCAGAAAUAUGACUAUAAGAUUGGAACUACUGAUGUUUUAAAUGCUUAUGCCGGACAUGCAUAUCCGAGGCAUGGAAUACACAACUGAAGCUACUCAUAGGCUGAAUUCUCAUAAUGAAUCAUGCCUAUCUGAUGCAUGGAUCUGUGACCUAGUUGUUCUCAUAUAUGCAGGACUGAAUACACUGAUAAGCUCAACUUUUCUAUUGAACAUGCAUUUCUAAUGCAUGCAUAUCUGACUGAACUAACAUAUGAAUGUAUGGAUAAAUAUGCAAUAAUAACUGAUUUGAAGCUUGUAAUAAGAAUCUAUGCAUACAACUGAAUAGGGUAUCUCCCCCUUGGUACCCUAUGUCCCUCUAUGAAUGCUCAAUUCACUAAGAUACUCGAAAAACUGAGGCGAUGCACAGGGCGCCUACGAAUUGAAUAAUAACUGAACAUCUAGAAUCCGAAUUUAAUGCAUAACACAUGAACUGGGCUAUAUUCGUAACUACUGGUAUGCUCUAUAUUGGAAUAGUAGCAUGUCUGAGAUUUUGAGUAGCAUGAAUAAGUCCAAAGACGAGAAAAUAAGUUAUGCGAAUCUAACUGCUAAACUGACUUAUUGGCCAUAUAGACUGAAUUAUACUACACCCUCAUACUUAACUGGAGUAUCUCUUCAUCACAAUUCUCUAAAGAAAUUCUAGCAGUAAUAGGGAGCCAUGAAUCUUGGGUAUAGAUUACAUAAGACAUCCAACUAAGCAAUCACCACAUUGACACUACUCUGCAGUCUGGAACAUAGGUAUAUAACUCCUGAAUUAGGAUAGAAUUACCAGGCUUUUGGCAUUACAACCUCUUACUUUCAAGAUUAGAACACUUCUUGAAUAUCACUUAACUAUACUAUUCUCCUUAAAUAUCAUAUUCAUUCAACUCAGCUUAAAAUUCUCAUAUGAGUAUUGACAAAUCUUUCUACUAAUGUCGGAAAUAACUUAAUCCCUUCGUCGUGAUCAAGCCUAACUCUAAGUCACAAAAAUACAACAUGCCAGACCAUGCUAUUAUUCUAAACCAUAUGAUGUAACGUUCUAUAUCUCCUUUAAAGAACACAUCCUAAGUAUAACAUGCCUUACCACUUCAAUGACUACUCUGAACCUUUACUAUGAAGUCCCUAGUGCAUAUAGCGUUCCUUUACAAUAAUAUCAACAUGUCAUUCAAGCCUAUCUUUAUAACCACAUAUGAACUUCAAAGAAAACACUCAUAAAGGCAUACUUCACAGAUUCUCUAAACCACUAUCUAUAUCACUCCCACAAGCUACCCCAAGAACAUACACAUACAAAAUUCCACUAACCAUCAUAUAAAUAAGAACUUAGCCCCAAAUCUUACUUCAUACUUAUGGCCUUAUUUAAACAAACAUACUAUGAUCUUCUAUCAACAAGGAAUAAUUACUCACCACUACUAUUAUCGCAUAAGGAGGAGUCACAAAAAAGGUUAGAACAUAAGAUCUGAAGGAAUGGAAUGAUACUAUAUAAAGCUUGACACUCAUCUGAGGCCUGAGGAAUAGCAAGACAACAACAGGCACUCACCAAAUCGCUCUGAAUUUAGGGUAUUCAUGGCUAUAAGUUGAAUCUGGCCAAUCAUUUGGCGUAAAACAUGAGUUAUGGAAAUGGAGCACAUUAUAAAGCGUGAGUAUAUGACUUUAUAUCAUAUGUAUGAAUGCGAACUGAUCAUGGAACUAAAUCGUAAAACAUGAGUAGGUAUUAGAAUCACUGAGAAAUACUGAGAUAGGAAUGGGUUGAGAUUCACCCUUACUUUUUGAUGUUCUAUAUCAUCAUGACAUCACUAAAAGAAUCUGAGAGUCUUACUUGGUUAUUCGUUUAGUCAUCUCCCCCUUAGCUUCAAGCCAUCAUCUUAAGUUUUUUGGGAGAUACCUUACUAGACUUUAAACUUAACUGCACUCACUGCACUCUAGGUUCUGAAAUAUGAUAAUACACAAAAUUAAUAAAACUUAACCCAAAAGACCACAUAUAAGAGUGGAACACCCACUGCAAAUACUACCUGCUGAGGCACACUCUAUCAUUCUGUAACCCCAAUAGUCAUAAUCUAUUACUCGAACACUUACUAACUUCGAAUCUUCAUGAGUAUCCCCAAAGUUGAAGUGCACACCCUCUAGUGCCUCUACUCUUAUUUCNNNNNNNNNNNNNNNNNNNNNNNNNNNNNNNNNNNNNNNNNNNNNNNNNNNNNNNNNNNNNNNNNNNNNNNNNNNNNNNNNNNNNNNNNNNNNNNAUAGCAACUUCAAACUUAUUUUCCUCUACCAUGAGAAUCAAGUUCAUAUCAAAAGGCUCAACGCUAUCAAUCAAAGGUCCUUAACUUGGCUAUUUAGAACACCAUAUACCAUCUAGCUAGUCUUUUUCCACCUAGCAACUCAACGGUACCAGUAGCAACACACAACAUGUAAUAGCUUUAGAAAAAUACUACAACUUCAUACCGCCUUGGGCAUACUUCUACAUCACAUAUACAACGUCAUACUUCAUUAUGAAUCAAAUAAACUUAGGCACUUUCAUACAGUGUUCAAGCCUAUAGAUCACUUCCAUAUAACUAGUAUCAUUAACUAAGAAAUCAUCACAUCUAUCUCCAUGGCCAUCAAUUGUUUCAAACUUAAUGUCUAGUGCUAAACAUGAUUUACAACCAACCUUACACACAAUCCUCACCUAGAAACUAUGAAAUAAACAUCAAGAAACACUAGUACACUAGAAAUUCAUAACCACAAUAAUCNNNNNNNNNNNNNNNNNNNNNNNNNNNNNNNNNNNNNNNNNNNNNNNNNNNNNNNNNNNNNNNNNNNNNNNNNNNNNNNNNNNNNNNNNNNNNNNNNNNNNNNNNNNNAUAAUAUAAAUAUACUAAUCCUUCAAAUUGGGAUAUUCUACCCAAAUACUUCAAAAAUAUACUACAUACUUUCUCACAAGUAGUAUUAGUUUACAACUACCAAUGAGAAGAAGGUUAAGGGGUAAGGUCACAUAAUAGACAUGAUCAACCUUAAGCUUAUAUUAUAACCAUACAAUCUUAUCUACUUAUACGGCUUUCUCACAUCACACUUACUUACCCCAAUGGGCAUUUAGACUACCUUCAGAUACCCCAUAUGACAAUGAGUCUAUACUUACAACCUACUGGCUAAUCUAGCCAUUUUUAUUCAUAGCCUAUAAGGGGUUUCUAUAACCACCUUAAGUAUCCACUUUGGGCUCUUUCUCUAUUUUAAAAGGAAGAAAACAAAUAACAUGCUGAGUCAACGCUUCCUCCACGGACUACCAUACAAUUCAUAAAUGGUACCACCAUAUUAGUCUACCACCACGAAAGGGUAAAUCAUUCUCAAUCAACAAUUAUUCAACUAUAAAUAUUUAAUCACAAAAGUCAUCCUCACUCUGACCUCUAACCUUAUGACUUCAUAUCACAAACUUCUUGGUCUAAUUUCACUACCAAUAGGUCAUGACACCAACACUCUAACUUAUACUACUACUUGGAGUUCCAACAAACACAAGAACAAUAAGAUGAAUAGCAAGUUGCUAGUGAAUCAAAAUAGGCCUCAUACGGCUUCACUAGACUUUUGUUUUCAACAACACAAUGAUAUCAAGAUUACAAGAGAUAGAAGCUUGAUACACAAUAUUCAAUGACUCAAGAAUACACAUUUUACACUUGUUUUAACUCUCAUAAGAAUGAGGGCAUAAUUUUACGCUAGGGAACUCCUCUUCCGUCCUUUGUGGGACUUCUGAAAUUUUAGCUAGAUAAUCGAAGAAUAUCUGGAAACACCAGAGUGAGGAAGAAAUUAGGAUAACUUUUCUUUUUGUAUGGGUGACACCAUAGAAUGAAUUAGAGUAUGAAGGAGGAACAUUCUGACUUUAUAGCACGAACUAGAACAUGAAGAAAGAGAGACAUUCCUAAAUGCCUUGUAGCCUUCUACUUAUAAGUGUGGCACGUUGCACACCCAUAAAUAAGACUCUACCUGAUGCAAUUUUGCAUUCACCCUGGGAAUAUGAACCAUGCUUUGAUACUAAGUAUGUCACGACCCAAAUUGAGGCCCUGGCCGUGACGAGCAUUCCCGAACCCAAAGGCCCAGAAUGCCCUCUAUCUAUCUGGUAAUUAUGCACAUAAUUCAUUUAAUCAAAGUAAUACAGAAUAGACACAAUAAUAAGGAAACAUGGUCAAAAAUUUAAAAUAGUUAAAGGCCGAAAAACAUGGCCAAUAAUAUUUAAUAAACAUUUGCAAUAGUCUGCAAAAUCUCUACUGACAUACUAUCUGAAUAACUUGGACAAGGCCCUCAGCAGACCAAAAACCAUACUGAAAUAAAUACUUAAAUGACUAGGCCUUUUGAAGCAAAGAAGGCUCACUAACUGAACUCUGAGACAACCCUUUCUGUAGACUCUACUAAGGAUCUAGACCCCUAGACUGCACCUCAGUACCUGGGAGGAAGGGGGGUCAACACAAUUGUACUGGCACGUGAAGCAAUCCAAAAUAGAGUAAUUGAACAUAUAUAUAUAUAAUACGUAAGAGAAAAUUUUCAUCAAACAUUAUGCACAAAAUAGUUUCUGAAAACACACGGGCACCUUCUAAAAAUAUGUAACCUGUCUGUAAAUCUCAAACUCUAAUCUGUGUAUUACUUCUAAGUUAGGUGGUAUCCCCUACAAGUCUGAUAUUCCACGGGCGAUAUGGAAUCCGCCAUUGACUCGGCAGGGAAACCUCCAACCCGAGUAUGAUGUAAGGGUUGGAGUUCCUGAAUCUGAUACGCCACACUACACUUAAGUCAGUGUAUAAUAAUAUACCCGAGUCGGUAAACCGCGUUUUAGGCAAUGAGUUUCUUGAACUCAAUCCCUCUUCAGGGAACCACCUAACAUAUCUGUAUGCCUAUUUUUAACUUUUUCUGUACAUGCAACAUUAUGAAUGUCUAAAAUCAUGAUAGUCUGAAAUGUCUAUUAGUCUGAGUCUGAUAUGACAUUGGUCUAAAUUGGAAUCGUCAUACCAAGACUUGAAAGACAUGAUUUUUGAGCAAUAAUAUAUUAAGCUAAUGUAAUACCCCGCAUGUUUCUAAGCUUGGAAAUGAAUAAGUAUUCCUACGUAUAAAAUCUCCUAUUUUGGGAUUUAUAAUUGAGUACAUGACUUACAAUGAAUAUCCUAGUGAUUGGAUAGCUUAUGAUGCAUUAAGCAUGUUUAUAUGAGUCACUUAAGGUAAUACAAGCUAAGAGUUUUUGAAUCUAUUAAGUUUUAGUAUUUGACUUUGCAAGGUUCAUCUUUGAAUGAGUAUAACUCGAUGUUAAUGUGGUAUUUUAGCUGAUUUAGACCCACCAAAUUGUAUAGAAUUGAAUUAGCUUUCCAAUGAUACCAAUUUCACCUUAAUCCAAUACCCGAGCAAAAAGUUAUGCCUAUUUUCAUGAGAGACAGUAAGGAUAGGCGAUUGGUUAGGCGCCACCCAACCCAAGCAUAGGCAAUUGGUUACGCGCUGCCCAACAUAGAUUAGGAAAUCACUUGGGUGCUACCUAAGUCAAUUCCAGGUGCCAAAAACACUUCGUUUUGAGUUAUUUUAAGGGUAAUUAAGUCUUUUAACACUCCUUACACGUCCCUAAACUUAAAACUACGAAAUAUAUAGCUUAUAAACAUAUUACAACCCUAUUAUCAUCUCAAAAAUCAUCAUCCAAGAGCACUAAAAGAGAAAAAACAACUAGGGUUACGUAACUAAGCUUGACGAUCCGAUUUCAAGGAAAUUCCUCCAUCAAUCAUCAAGAAUCUUCCAUUGAAGGCAUGCGUGAGUUGAUUUAUGGAUCCCUUUCAUCCAUAAAGCUCAAAAAUCCUCUUUUUCAUUAUAAAGUAUGAUUUCUAUAUUUUUGGGUGUUGAUGAUCAUGUUGUUGAUAUUGGGUGAUUCCCAAGAUGGAAUCUUUAUAUGUUUUUUCUAGAAAUCAUGCAAUAUAGAUAAAUUAUGACUAAGUGAAGGAUUCAUGAUAUGCCCGUACGUUCCAAUGACUUCUAUGUUGAUAAUGUGCCUUGUAAAUGUUGUUGGAAUACUCAUGAACUAUUCUUAUAAGACUAUGCUAUGUUUACUUGCAAAUCCUACUUAUGAACAAGAUGUAUGAUAACUAUGCAAUCCAUAUGAGCUUCCAUGCUAUUGGUAUGUGUUGCCAAUAUUAUUAUGCAAUGAACAUGAUAUUAAGAUUGUGCAAGUACUUCCAUGUGGUAUGAAAUCCUUUCCAUGCAAUACAUUGUUGAUAACCAUGCUUAGUAUGAGAUCCCUACUUAUGAUAUUAUAAAUUAUGGACUCUGCUCUUAUGAUCAAUUCAGUCAUAUGUGUCAGUUUCCUUCCAUCAAGUCCUAGGGGUACUUGUACCCGAAAACUAUAGUUGUGUGCCUAGAGCCAUGUCAUGUUUUACGAUAUCUGAACUCAAGCUAUGAUUCCAUAGACUCCAGUCAGUCAUGUGACUCAGGAAAACCUUAUGAUCUUUGUCAGUUGUUAGAUAUCAUUAACAUUCUGCCAAUCAACGAAAUUCAGUAAGAUUAAGUCAUGCACAGUCAGUUAUUCAUGUCCAGUUCCUCCAGAUAGGAGUAGAGGUUAGCACCGAGUGAACCCAAGGAUGGGAACUCACCCGCCAGUUCAGGGUGUGAUUCUUAGUAGUCAUCCUUGUGUUCCAGAAUUACGUAGCCAGGGUAGGUUGAGACAUCUUAACCCAUCAGAUUAGGGUUGAUGAGGUGGCUUAGCCCAUCAAUUUAGGGUUCCUAUCGUUCUCAUUGAGUACCCGCCAGAUAAAGCUCACUCACAAGCUGUCCUUACCCAUGGCACGGUAUUGACACCCCUCUAGUUGGGGCAGAGAUUGGACCCCAGCUUAGCCAUAACGGCAUACAGGGGGCAUGUCGGUGAAAUACUACUUUCCACAAUUUCAGUAUCAGUCUCAGUAAAAGAACUCAGGGUGUUCUUCAGAUUUCAGCAUAUACAAGACUGUCAGAUACAGUCAUCUAUGAUAUCAGUUUCAGUAUCAGUCAUGACAAUUAUUAGUAAACCAUGUAUUAGAUUACAGGUCAUGCUAUCACGUAUUCACGAUCUCAGUUUCUAUAUAUGUGUGUUUGCACUUCCAUGUUCAUAUUAGUCAGUCAGUGUUGUUCAUGCAUGAAACCCUUUAUGUUCAGCUUCCUCGUAUACUCAGUACUCCAGUUGUACUGAAGCAUUUGUGCUAUGGUGCUUUCUUUUCAUGUUACACCAUAGGUUCCGAGAUACGAGCUCUAGCCCAGCAGUAGCGGUAGCAUUCCAAUUGCAGAGACACAGUGAGUCCUCAUUGAUUCGAGGAUAGUAUGAUUUGAUUCAUUUAUUUAUUUCUUCAGUUCAGUUUUAUGGAGUUAGUUGGAAACAUGUUCCUUCAACUCCUUAUUCACAUAGUUUAGAGGCUUUUAGAUUUAUGUUCAGAUUUACGUUCAGAUUGAGUUAUUUUGGGUAUUUUCACCGACAUGAUUGUAUUCAGUUGAACCUUAUGACCUUACAGUUCUAUGUAUUUUGUAUUAUUAUAUUAUGAUUUGCAGUAUACAAGUACAGAUAUCAGUCAUGGAUUAGCUUGUGGUCCCUCGGGGUCACGAGCACCGUGUAGUAUUCCGGUUCAACGAAUCGAGGUAUUAUAGCUAAAUAUUUUAUUUAAAAUAUAAUUUAGAACACCAAAAAUAUGCAAUUGAUAAAGAAGAUUUCGUGUUUCGAAACUCAAGUCAAAAUUAUGCAAAAACUUCAUCAACAUAUGGUGGUCUAGUGCCUUUAGCAAAUCCAUGCACUCUUUCAUUACAUGAAUUAUGAACAUUAAACAUUCAUGCUAGAUUCCCUCUUUAGUGAUUUAAAACCACCUUUAAAUCAUAACAAGAAUUCAAUCAUUUCAAAUAGUGCUUUUCAAGGAUGCAUUGCAAAACAAUUCAUAUGCUAUGAAAAAUCUGAAAAAUUUAUAAUAAGAGGGAGUUCACCGAAAAUCAUGCUCUCAACAAGAAUUCAUUCUUAAAUACAUGGUUUCAUACAUUUAUAUUCUCAAAUCACUUUGGGGAAGGUCAAAAGACUAAAGCAAUGAUGUUAAAACAUUUAAUACAUGAAUAUAUACAUAGAUUCAAAAACCCUAUUCUAAAACAUGAUUUUUCUAUGCCCAUGAGAAUUUAGGAAAACCCCGCGUACCUCUAUUUCAGAAAAUAAUGGGUUAUUCUUGAAUCCUUUGGAUUGGAGAUUCCGAAUCUCUAAUCAAUUUUGAAAAUCCACAGUUAAAUGUUGAUUUAUUUGGGUUUUUAGUUUGAAACCCUUAGGUGUGUUAUUGAGAAUUUUAGAUGAAUGUGGAUGUAUUUCGGAGAAUUGGGGACUGAAUUUUGUGUUUAUGGCUGAAUAAGGGUGGGAAAAGGACCAUUUUCCCCCAAAAACGGAGUGUUUAAGUCAUUUGAAACCAUAAGAUAUGCGCCGCAUAUGAUAUCACAUAUAUUUACAUAGGCGCCGCAUAUGAUAUCACCUAUAUUUACAUAGGCGCCGCAUAUGAUAUCGCCUAUAUUUACAUAGGCGCCACAUAUGUAUCAUAUAUGCUUUCCAGUGGUCAUGUGCGAUUGGUUAGGUGAUGCAUACUACUUUGAAAGGACAUAACUUCUUGCUCGGGUGUCGGAUUUUAGGAAAAUUGGUAUCAUUGAAAAGUUAACUCGAAGACCUAUCACAUAGUAAGCUCUCUAAUUCGACAUAUACAGAGAGUUAUGGUGGAUGGAAGCUAACACAAAUUACAACGUCCACUAAAACUUAAUCGAUCGAAAUAGUUUCAACUCGUCCUUGAGUUGAAGGACCUCUAUGGUCUAAAUUCAUGCUCAAAUGGAUUCACAUACUACAUAAACAUGCCAAAUUGGCAUAGGAUUUAAGGCUCUAGGAUUAUCAACGCAUCAGAAUCAUGGUUUUUAUUCUAGCCUGAAAUGUGGGGUGUUACACUUUCCUUCCAUCAAUACAAAUGUAAUGAUUGCAUCACGACAUCCGGAAAGUGCUAUUAAGAUUAGCUUUAAUUCUAUCUGAGAGGGAUGGGNNNNNNNNNNNNNNNNNNNNNNNNNNNNNNAAGAGUACCCAGGACAAUUAACUAUGAAGAAAUAUUGCAUCUGAAGAAAGUCUUUUCCUUGUAUCACUUUUCUUUUAAUAGCACAAUUUUUUAAAGUAACUAUUUCAUGCUUUAAUAUAGCCUAAAAUUCCCUUCCUUUUUAUGUGUGAUCUAUGUUUAGCCUAAAUUUCAAAAAAAGGAAUACGUAGGCGGCCUAUGUCGUCUCCAUUCAACCCCAUAGGAGAAUUUACCCUUUUCUUUUAUGUACGAACUAUUUUAGACUUGAAUUUCCAAGAAAGGGAUACAUGGAUAGCCAAUGUCGGCUUCGAUAAACCCCAUAAUAGAAUUUACCUUUUUCUUUAUGUAUGAACUAUGUUUAACCUAAAUUCUCAAGAAUAAGAUAUGUAGGUAGUCUAUGUUGAUUUCGUUCAAUCCUUUAGGAAAAAUACCUUUCUCUUUUUAUGUACGAACUGUGUUUGACAUAAAUUCUCAAGAAAGAGAUAUUUAUGUAGCCUAUGUCGGCUUUGGUCAACCCUUUCGGAAACUUCAACUUUCCCUUUUUAUGUAUGAACUAUGUUUGACCUGAAUUCUCAAGAAUGAGUUACGUAGAUGGCCUAUGUGGGGUAGUAAACAAAUUUCAUGAGUCAUUGUGGAACCUACUUUAUCCCACCAGUAGGUAAGACAAACUGAAGCCCAAAGCUAUAAACAAUAGGCUAAUUGGUGAAAAAGUGACAUAAUAUUCAAAAAUGUGCAAUUAAAUAAAUUACAAGGCGUAAAACAUUAGAAUAAUAACAACAUAAAGGGACAGAAAUAAAAAAGAAGAAUUAUAACAUCCCCUGACCUAGUAAAGUCGGUACAAGAGACACUAAUACAAAAAUAUGAGUAUUGUACAAGUCAACAUACAAUAGUCUCAAAAAUAGAAACAAUAUGCAAAAACAAAAGAUAGAGAAAUGGUCUACUCCGUCUUUAAGAUCUUACCUUAUCUCCAACUCUGACCAGCACAAACACAGCGUCAGCGGAGGCAUCUAGUUCUUGGAUCUGCACCAAAAAGGUACAGAAGUGUAGUCUGCGUACCAAAACUAUAGGUACUCAAUAGGCAUCAUCAGCGGAUUGAGCUAAAUUAUAAUAUAAAUAUAAUAAAGUCUAAGAUAAUAGGCUAAGUCAAGAGUAAAGGAAAAACAUGGAAUAAUGCACAAAAUACUAAAACCAAACAACCAUAAUAUUACUAUCAAGGAAAAGCAUAACUAUCUCUACAUAAUGGCCCUCCAUAAGCCAAAAUUUGCGAAUAAAGUAAAUAACCUAACAGAGGACCCUAUAAGCCUGAAGGGUGCAAUCAAGGAGAAAAAAUAAUCAAAAUUAUACAAAUUAACCAUAUAUUGAAAUCAUAAUCAUGGAUCCUUCAUAACGUAAACAUCACACUCAAACAAGUCCCAUAACCAUUAUAAAUAACCUCUAAACGCCAGACUUAAGCCUUAGCUUGCAUCUUGAAUACUGAACUUGAAUAGGAACUAAUAUCAUGAAUGAUGGACAUGAACUAAAACUAGUAUCCCAUAUACCGGACUUUAACCAAAACUAAUAUCACCUAUAACGCUAGAAUCGAACUGAUCUUAUCUUCUCCUAAAUAUCAAUCUAGAAUGAACAAUUAUAUGCCUAGAACAUCCUCCGUAUCAAUAGUGUGAUUAGGGUAAUAUGAAUGGCCUAUUGAGUUUGCAAGGACCUAAUAGUAAUCUUGGACUAAAGUGGGCUGAAGGGGCCCUCUUCUAACCCCGAUAAUUCAUUCUAAUGAAAAUUCUACCUAAACUAGACUAGGAUGUCAGAUUUCACUAUAGGAUACUAAAUAAGUCUCAUUGGGUUCUAAUAUACCAAUUCUACCCUAUAAAUGAGUGGCUACGUUGAUUAUACCUAAAUACGGCUCCUAAAUCUGCAAUUUACACUAAAUAUAAUUCUAAGACCUAAUUCCCAACCCAAAACUAGCAUAAUAUCAUAUCAAUACUAUUUUCAAGCACAAUCCAGGAGAAGGGUAACCCAGCAUACCUGGAUGCCAAUGAAAGAUUGAUGAAGUUCACUAAAUCAAUGAUUUGCCCUUCAAAAGUUUUCGGACGAUGCCACACCAUCAAAAUGGUAAUCUACUCAUUAAUACAAGAACAACGAUAGCCAUAGUGUAUUUUAAUGCUUUAGGUCCAAAGUCAAGAUAAAAUCCCCUGUGGGGCUCUCUUGUAGAAAUGCACUUUUGAAAUCGUCAACACGUCCCUCACUGCUCAAGAAACAUUUAAUUUCAUGAAUGGGUAAAUUUUGAGCUCAAACGAUACUAAAAUCAACCCAAUAAUAAUCUAAAGAUUUGGGUCUAUAUUGAAAAAGUAAACCAUUAAUUAAAAAAAAACUUAUAGUGUUUGUUAUGAAGAAAUGAUUAUCAAGAGUUCAUAAUUAUACCACAAUCUCUCAAUAAUCAGUCCUAAUUUUCCACUCUCUAGGGCUUUUUAGCUCUUGGACUUGUGAAAAAGAGGUAGAAAAUUAGGUACUUAAUGCCCUCCAAGUGCUGCUUAAGCAGAUGAGAAUUUAAUGCACUCAGCGCACCGCUUAAGAAGUCACUUGACCGGUUAAGCGAUCCCUUCCUUGGUCCGAACCUCCGCUUAAGAAGUCAGGAUGCCACUUAAGUGACGUCCGCUUAAGCGAUCGAGCCUUUAUUAAAGCUGUCUGAUAGGGUUGGCCCUGGCUGCUUAAGAAACCACUUGGACACUAAAGAGGCCUACGAUUAAGUGAUCAGUGGUUCGCUUAAGCGGAUGCAUCAUCUUAAACUUGAAAAAAUUAUAAGUUCCCACCGACCCUCAGGAUGCAUUCAGAAUUAGAGAACAUAAACAAACUAUGAUGUCCUAUCAAAUUUGACAUUCUGGAUUCAAUGGAGCCAUCAAAAUUUCCAUUUAAGGUUUCUUCAACAAAAAGUGGGAUCCACACCCAUGGGCAAUUUUUAUCAAAUUCCAACCAAUAGCCCGAAAUGAGUCUAAAAGCCUUGGAACCCAAACUAAAGGUACCUCUAGGAUAAAAUCAACAUUUUAGAGUUGAUGGAACCCUCAAAAUUUGCAUACAAGGUCGCUAAACUAAAGUUUUCACUUUGUAGCAGACUCUUACAAAUGAAGACUUCAAAAUAGAGAAUUAGCUCUAUAAAUAGAAUAAAUUGCCCAAUAAUUAAACUGCCAGCUCUAGGAAGUUAUCAAUGACUUAGGGAAGAUAUAGGAAAACUCUAAAUGGCAAAAAUUUGGGGAAAUAUAGAAAAUGACUUUAAGGGUCAUUAUUAAUAUCCACUAUUAAUAGAAAUUUCAUCUGCAAAAGUAAAGGGUUAUUAUGUACCUGGUGGCUUAAACAUAUGGGGAUAAUGGGCCCGUAUCUCUCUCUCGAUAUUCUAUGUAGCCUUAUCUACUAGAAUCACUCUAGAGCCCAACUACUUGACGUCCCUGGCUAAUAUGAAUAGUAAAUCCUCCAUGAAGAUCAAUCUCUCGUCUAACUUAACUUAGUCCCACCGAAGUGUAUAAGACUUAUCGGGAACUUAUAACCACAACAUGGAAGCAUGGAAAGUGGAUGAAGAGCAUAAGUCUAACUUAGAACCUACAACUCCAUCUGUGCGAAGGAUUUCAAAAGGUCCAAUAUAUCUAGGACUAAGAUUUCCUUUCCUCCUAAACCUCAUCACACCUUUCAUAGGUGAUACUCGAAGGAAUGCUCAGUCUACGACUCCAAACCUCAAAGCACAAAGUUUGUAUCAACAUAUGCUUUUUGUCUACUUUGAGCUGCCCUAAACCUAUCCUGAAUCACCCUGACUUUGUCCAACGUCUCCUGAAGUAAGUCAGUACCAUGACACCUAAACUCGGAGGUCUUAAACCAUCUAAUAGAAGAUCGACAAUGCAACUAUAUAAUGCCUUAAAUGGUGGAAUCUUAAUACUCAAAUAGUAGAAAGUAUUGUACACAAACUUCACCAAAGCUAAGUGCUACUCCAACUGACAUUCAAAAUCCAUAACAUAAGCUUAGAGCAUAUCUUCGAGAACCUGAAUACUCCACUCUAAAUGUCCAGCUGUUUGAAGGAGGAAAGCGAUACGGAGAUCCACCUGAGUACCCAACUCUUCCUGAAAAUCUCUCAAGAAGUUAGAAGUGAAUACUGAGCCCUGGUCUCAAAUAAUAUAUAUUGGCAUUCCAUGCAAACGAACUAUCUUACGAUCAUAAAUACAGGCUAAAUUCUGGGCACUAAAGAACACCUGAAUAAGAAAGAAAAGUGCCAAUUUGGACAACCUAUCUACAAUGACCCAAAUAUGAUUGGAACCACGGGAAGUGCAAGGUAGACCACUAAAGAAGUCCAUAGAUAUCCUCUUCCAUUUUCACUUGGGAAUGGGAAUUCUUUGAAUCGGGACACUAGAUGCUCGACCUUCACCUGUUGACAACAUAGGCUAUGAGUUACAAAGUCUACCACACCUCUCUUCAUACCACUCCACUAAUAGUGCUACCUCAAAUCUAUAUACAUCCUAGCUGUACCAGGGUAAAUAGAGUUCCUGAAGCUAUAAGCCUCAUAAAAUAUCGACUAAAUCUGGUCACUAACCUUCGAAACACAAAUGCGGCCAUCAUAUCUCAGAAAACCUUUAAAAUCUAUAGCAGCCCUCCGGGACUUACCUCUUAACACCUGAUCAGGAAUGAUACAAAGCCUUAUAUCCUUAAACUAAUGACUCUAAAUUAGCUCAAGUAAGGUAGAAUUCUCCUUUACACUAGAAAGAAUCCUCCUGGUGUCAGAAAUAUCAAGUCACACCAUCAAUUUGGCUAUAGAGUAGAUGUCCUAUGCCAACCGCCUUUCAGAAUUUGAAAUAGAAGACAAACUGACCAUACUCGCAGUCUUCUAGCUCAAAGCAUCUUCUACCAUAUUUUUCUUACCCGGAUGCAAUAAAAUAGAUAUGUUAUAAUCCUUCAACAACACUACCCAGCUAUGCCUUCUAGAAUUAAACUCUCACUGAAUCAUAAGAUGUUGAAGACUACUAUGAUCGAUAUAGAUCUCAUAAUACAUGACAUAUAGAUAAUGCCUCCAAAUCUUAAGUGCAAAAACUACCACCACCAACUCUAGAUCAUAAGUUGGUAGUUGAGCUCGUGCACCUUAAUCUGCCUUGAUGCAUAAGAAAUAACUUGACCCUACCAACACUGGAAGUAUCAUAAUAUAUGGUGAAUCCCUCACCUUCAAUGGGAAGAGCCAAUAUAUAAGUUGAAGUGAGAAAUCCCUUGAGAUCCUGAAAGAUCGACUUAAACUCCUCAAAUUAUUGGAAAGGGACCUCUUUUUAGGUAAAUCUAGUCACCGGCCCUAUAAUAUUAGCGAGGCCCUCCACAAACUGUUUUUAAUAACCAACUAAACUAAUGAAUCUACAUACUUCAAACAAAGAUGUAGGUUUGGAGAAACCACGAAUAGCCUCACUCUUUGCUCGAUCCACCAUAUUCUCAUCCUUAGACACUAUAUUUCCUAGGAAUGUCACCGACUUGAGGCCAAACUCACACUUUGAGAAUUUGUCCAAAAGCCUAUAUUCUAUUGAAGACUAGAGCACAAUCCUCAAAUACUUCAUAUGGCCCUCUCGAGUCCUCAAUUACACAAAGAUGUCAUUGAUGGAAAUAAUCACGAAGAAAUCCAAAUAAGGUCUAAACACGUGGUUCAUUAAAUCCAUGAAUGUAGCUGGGGCAUUGAUCAACCCAAAAGACAUCACCGAGAACUCAUAAUGACCAUAAUGAGUCCUCUAGGCUGUCUUUGAGAUGUCCUCAAUCUGAAUCCUCAACUAAUGAUAACCAAAUCUUAAGUCAAUUUUAGAGAACACCACUGCUCCCUAAAGUUGUUAAAAUAAAUCAUCAACGUGAGGUAAACGAUACCUAUUCUUCACCAUCACCUUACAAAGUUGUAUGUAGUCAAUACACAUAAGCAAGGAACCAUCUUUCUUCUUCACAAACAAGAUAGGAGCACCCCAAGGUGGCAUACUCAGUCUAAUAAAGCCCUUACCUAAAAGAUCUUAAAGAUAAGAAUUCAAUUACUUAAGCUUGAUGGGAGCCAUAUCGUAAGGUUCCAUAAAAAUAGGUCGGGUGCCCAACUCAAUAUCAAUAAUAAACUAAAUAUUGGGUUCAAGAAGAACACAAGGUAGAUCGGCAGGAAAAACAUUAGGGAAAUCACAGACUAUAGGAAUUGAGUCAAGUAAGGGAUUCUCUAUAAUAACAUCAUAAAUUUAAGUGAUAUAAGACUUGCAACUCCUUAAUAUAAGUCUCCUAGCCCAAACAUAAGAAAUAAUCCCUAUUAGAUCACAACUAAUAGAUCCCUACCACACAACCAGAGGUUGGGAUCUUGGCAAGAAAAUCCAAAACCACAUGAUAGGGAGAUAAUCAAUCCAUGCCCAGAAUCAUAUCCAAAUCAACUAAACUAACACAGUAAGAUUAGCCUGAGUAUCAAACUCUCAAAUUGUCAUAAUAAAUGACCUAUAAACUUGAUCCACUACUAAAGAAUCACCCAUAAGAGUAGAUACACAUAACGACAAGAUAAAGAUUCCCUAGAUAACUCUGACCAUGGUGCAUAACAGGUAGAUACAUAAGAAUUUGUCAUGACUUAAUUUAUGAGUCAUGAAAGUGCCUACUAAAUCUCACACAUAGGUAAGCGAACCCAUAACAAGAAGCUAAUACAAUGGGUUAAUUUAGAGAAAAAUGGCCAACACAAUUUCAAGAACACAAUACAUAAAUUAACAAAGCAUUCUACGUAGAUAAAAUAAUAAAUACACGAUACCAUCCCAUGACCUAGUUGAGCCAGUACAAGAGCAUCUAACAAUAAAAAUACAACCCAAGUAUCAAGAGUAGUCAAUACAUCUAUCACAAAUCAGAUGCCUGAAUAUAGGAAGAUAGAUAAAAAUGAGAGACUCAAACUUCAAGAGCUUACCCUAUAUCUGAAUAAUAACAUCACACGAACAUGAAUCAACAACGACAACUAGUACUCAAAUCUACACCAAAAAGGUACAAAAGUGUAGUAUGAGUAUCAAAACAACAGGUAAUAAGUAGGCAUCAUUGUCUGACUAGUCAUGAUAUAAGUAUGAUAAAAUGCAAGAUAACAUAACUAAGUCAAGGUAUAGACAAACAUAAAAUAGCCCCGACAUCACUGUGCAUAAAUAAAAAAUAAAUCAGAAUAAUAACAUAAAGCAUCAAAACAUACAAUAAUAUCUAUAAAAUUGGCUCCCACAUAUCAAUUUGUGCAAAAAAAUAAAUAACUCAUCACAGACUCCCAUAUGCCUAGAGAGUUCACUCAAAGAUAGAAUAAGGCAACCAUCCAUCGGUUAUAAAUAACCAACUCGAUGUUUAACCAUUAUUUCACAAUUUAGAAACAUAUGACAAAGUACCCACAUCCCAUACUUUACCAACAUAUAGCAACCAUAUCAUCCUUUAUACACUAGUCCAUUAAUCAACUAUCCAUCUCUUAUCACUAAUCAAUUAUUGCCUAGUCAUCAUAUAUCCACUAGCCAUCAUUUAGCAACUAACCAUGAUUUGUCAACUAUUCAUUUUACCACUAGAGCUCAUUUAUAUUAUGUUGCAUUAUAACCAUUUCCUCAUUUUGCAACUUAUCCAAAUUUUGAUUUUCAAUCGCAUACUGUGAUAUUGUUAAUCAUAAUAACUAUAUCAUCAUAGCAUAUUAUGCAUAUCUGAACUCAAACUAAUAAAUAUAAUUAAUAGCCUUACUUGAAUAGGAAAAUAAUCGAUAGCCAAACUUGAACUGAUAAAUAAUCAAUAGCCAGAAUUGAGAUGAUUAAUAAUCAAUAUCUAAACUUGAACCAGUAAUUAUAAUCAAUAACCAUAAUCAUCCUUCAGACUCCAACUGGGUAUAUUUAUAUAAUCAACAACAUAAUUAUUUUUCGGACUCAAAGUAGAUAUAUAUAUAAUCAACAUUAUAAGAAGUAUCAUUAAUAACGUAAAUGAUAACAGAAUCAAUAGGACCCAACCCUCAUAUUAACCAACAUAACCAUCAAGUAUCAAAGUUUCUCAAUAUUGCCUCAAAAGAGCAUUAUCUAGGUAUUCAACAAGCAUAUAAGGAUUUCAAGAAAACUCACAUAGAUCUUAGCUUAAGGUAGUUCAAAGAGCCAACUUCUAAUUCCCCAAAAUAUAUUCUAAGUUAACUUUUAAACCGGACUAGCCUAAGGUAUCUAAAUCCACUCCGCAAUGAUAAGGAAGCCACAAAUAGCCUUAAGCCAGAGAUUCUUCUUAAGCACUUUAACUAAUUCAAAUGGAUCUAAGGUAACUUUCAUUAGCUUAAACAACUAAGGACAACAUAACCUAAGAGUGAGUAACUAGAGCAUUUAUACUUAAUCUUGAGUGAUCUAAGGCAUUCUCAUUCUAAACAUGAGAAAUAAAGUCCAAUUUACCCAAAGCAUAGGGAAAUGAGCUAUGUGUUCAACACUACAAUUCUAGUAUGGCUUAAACGGUCUGACUAACACAAGUCUUGCAUUUUAUCAAUCCAACACCUAAAAACCAUCCCAAAUUUGACAUAAUAUCAUAAGAAUACUAUGAAAUACCUCAACCUAACAAGGGAUAAAUCUAGCUAUCAUGACCCAAUUUAUAAGUCAUGAUGGCACCUACUAAAUUCCACCAGUAGGUAAACCAAUACCAUAACCCGAAGCUAAAACAAUGGGUUAAUUCUGCAAGAAAUGCCAACAAAGGCAAAAUUCAAUGAACACAAGUUAUAAUUCAUCAGUGUUCUAAUAUAGAUAAAUAGACAAACAUGAAUACCAAUCCCAUGACCUGGUAUAGUCAUUACAAGAGUACCUAGUAUCAAUAAUACACCCCAAUAGUCUAUAAGUAACCAAUAAAUCUGUCUAAAAAAGACUGUAUAAUAAUUAGAUAGAAGGAAAUGGGCAACUCAUACUACAAGAGCUCACGCUAUCUCCGAAAUAUCUAUACCGCACGAACUCGAGUAAUUGGUGCAACUUUACUCAGAUCUACAUCAAAAAAGAAUAAAAAUGUAGUAUGAUUACCAAAAAAAUGGGUACUCAGUAGGCAUCAUCAGCCAACUAAGCUAAGUUAUUAUACAAAUAUGAUGUAUAGUAAGAUUGUACAAACUCAAACCUAAAUAAUCUCCAUAAUCAUUAUAUAUAAUAAGUAAUUAAACUAGAAUAAUAGUGUAACAUAAUGCAUCAACACAUGUCAAUAUCGCCGUGCCAAAGUAAUAGGCAAUCGGAGCCAUAACAUAUCAUAAAGUAUAACCACAAGCAAAACACAAGUACAAAGUAGCCCCCUUACACCAACUGGUGUAUUAAAUAAAGAACUCAUUGCAGCAUCCCAUACUACUGGAGAGUACUGAUGACGUCCAAGAAAUACCUCCUUUUAAAUAAUGGUAUGGUUGUUGUCAAGAUAUAGUAACCCAACUAAGGUUGGGGUGGAAUCAAAAGGGGACACGGGGAGUUGUAGUUAUCAAUAGUUGUAGUCUAUAGGCAGUACUGGAAUGUAAAUGAGGGGGGGGGGGGACUUGUUUGUAGUAAUCUUGAGAAAGUAACAAUAUUAAAUUUGGUUGAAAUCAGUUAUAGGAGAACAGUAGGAUUGCAUCACCCUGGCUUCUCAACUCUAUAGGGUUAUCGUGCUAUGUUGAAUCGACCCAAUACCUUGCUUACAGAAUUGAUAAGUUAUGUACCUUUUAUAGUCUUUUAGAUGAGUAGAAGGAUUUCACCCUUUACCUUUUGAGUCUUAGGAUAUUGCAUUACUAAUCUUUAUCUUAAUCCCAAUUAAUUAUUACCUUAUAAGUCUUUAGUUAUUAUAUGAAAGCUAACGUUCAUUCACUAUAUUCUAUUGUGCGUAAUGGAUCGACAAUUAAUUUUAAAAUUAAUAUUGUCAUUAUUUUUUCCUAGUUACUACUUCUCUUUUGGAGUGUAUUAGUAGCUAGGUAGGAUCCUAACAUUUGCAAUCGUAAAUAUAACUAUUAUAAUGAAAAUAAUGUAAUGCAUGCCUUAGGUAUUGGUUUAAUUCAACAAUCACACUUCCCCUAUGUCUUCAAUCAGCCAGGGUUUGCAUAACUAUAGCUAUGGAUUUUUAGCCGCUCAUAUUUGUGAAAAAAUCAAUAACAUUCAUGAUUGAAAGCGUGGAUGAAAUCAUAAUGAUAAGAUGAUUAAAAACCCAAAACCAUAACUUGAUUAAUCAACUAAAGUUAAUACAAGAGAAUCCCAAGAUCAAAUACGGAUCAUGGAAUCAAAAUAUAUUUUUUGAGUAUCAAAAGUGUGUAACUCCUAAAAAGUACAUAAAGCGUAUUUGUAGUACAUGAGAAAACCCUUAGAACAAACCCUUUGAGAGUUAGUUUUUCAACUUUUUUUUGAUUCUCUAACAUGCUUUGAUCACAAUCAAGACGAAAAAUAUCCCACACAUCCAUAGUCACUUCAAAAGUAUGCCAAAAAACUUUUUUUCCUCUUUUAAAGGAACUUAGAACCUAAAACAUGGUUUCUUGCAAAACAUACCCAAAGCAGAUCGUAGCUAACAAAAAGGCCUAAAAAACAUACAUAUUUUCUUAGUUUUAAGCGUCGAAAGUGCUAUAUUUCUAUAGCACAUCAACACCCUUAACUUAGAAUGUUUACAUGUCCUCAGGCAACAAAAAAUACAAAAAAACAAAAAUGAAGCUUAACUAGGAGAAUCUAAGAUACUCAAGGCAGUCAGUCAUCAUUAUAAGUUUAAAUCAUAACAUCCCCUCCUACAUCUCAUUUUAAAACCAACUGUGUAUGUCAUGAAGCACAACAAUAUGAGAAGCACAACAAUAUGACACGGUGGGAUCAAGUUAUAAAAAUUACAGUUUCAAUAGACAAACACUUAUAUAUACAAAUUACACUACCCGUAAUAAAAAAAAUAGUUGGCAAUAUAACUUAAGUGCUCUUACAACAAGGAUGCCCCACUCACUCAUAUGAAAUAAUGCAUGUCAAUAUAGGGACGGUCAAGAGAAACUCACACUCAACAAAGAAUUUCUAGUCAAUACAUGUCAAAUAGCACAGGCUUGCCCUUAUUUUCUUUACCUUAGCAUUCAGAUAGUCAAGUCAGGAUCACUAUAAGACUUUUCUCAGCUUGUAAUGUAUGCUUGGGGGUUGGUAUGAUAUAUAUGGACAUUUAAAGUAACUAAGCCUCCUUGGUACUCCACUAAUUUUGGGGUCUCACUUAUCAUCCAAAUUCUUCUUUUAUUCCACCCUUAUUUCUCUCUUUUAUUCUUGUAUGCACAUCUAGGUUCGGUGUGGUCUUCUAUUCUUUAUUUUUCUCUUUUUUACAAUUUUUAUAUUUCUUUUUUUUUUCUUCUGUUUUUCUAAUACACCCAACCCUAAUAUCUUUUAUUCUUAUUUUACCCUUUUUCAUACCCAUUUUACACUAUGCACCCCUAUGACAACCAUUCUCAACUUAUGGAUUUUGCCUGUGUUGAGGUUACAAUGUCCAAGGAGGACCUGGGCUAAAACAGGUAUAUUGUAAUACAAAUGGGAAGGUAAAUGGUGAAAAUAAGAAAAUAAAUAGGCUAACAAGGCUCAAAGUAGGGAUCAAGGGAUAUCAUUCAUAUGUGGAAGGUCAUUAAGACUAAAAGUGGACUAAAAUAAAAAAUCGCCUAUGAUCCUUUACUAAUCUACUAUUUUUCAACCUAGGCAAUACUACCCAGGAAAGUUCUGAAUCCAACAUACAAUGGGAACUAGGUAGUAUCUCAUACACAUAUAGCAUAAAGUCAAUAUCACUAACUACUACUUAUCCAGUCAAUGCCAUUUUCAGUGAAUGGUUACUAUAUCCCUAAUAGUAAUACCAUAACAAGAUCCAUAAAUUUCAUACAUUGAUACAUCAACACAGCUCUAAAAAAAUAAUAUUAGAGCUGUAUAAAAAUGUAAUACCCCAUACUUCUACCUAGCUUAAAUUUAUCCCAAAAAUAUUAAAUACUUGUUUCAAAGAUGAAUACACUUUUAUACAUGUGGUAUUUUCAAGAUUAUCACUUUUUAUCAUGUGAGAAAUUGAAUAAGCUUUCCAUCAAUACCAAAUUCAUGUAAAUCCGACAACCGAGUAAGAAGGUAUGGCGAUCUCAAUUUUAAGUCGUAAAACACCGCCAUUUCAGCCAAUGACGUGUCGAUCCAUAAGCCAAAAUGACAUUUGUCCGUUUAUGGUAAGACACCGCGAUUUCACCACAUCAUGGAGGGCUCCCAAAUCCCAAUUUUCAAAUUCCAGUGAAGCUCCGUGAUUACGCCGUGUCGCGCCAGGAGUCCAGGUUGAGAAAUUUUUACAAAAUUUAAAAGACGCAUCUCGGGUUAAAUGGGUCUUUUCCCAUGAUUUUUGUUCAGCCUUAAACAUGAAAUUUAAUCCUGCAUGACCUAAGGAUAUCAUUAUUCACUCUAUUUUCCCUAAUUUCUUUAUACACUCUCAAAGCCAAGAAACCUUAAUCUUAAAAAUUCAAGGACAAGGAUAAAGAAUCUUUCCAAGGAUCUUUACAGAGUUACAUUCUAAGGUAUGCCAUGUGUUGAUUCAUUGGUCCCUUUCACCAAUUAAUCUCAAUAAUCUUUUUGAAAAAUCCAAGAUUUGUAUAUUUAUGAAUGUUCAUUAUUUGAUUGAAUUGAAAAGUGAUGUUCAUGUUGUUGUUUGGUUUCACUCUAUGUUUUAGACUAUUAAUUACAAGUAUUGAUUCUAAUAUGUGAUGAAUUAUGUGAUUUUCAUGAUAAACCCUUCAAUUUAUAGGUUGAUUGAUGUAUCCAUGAUUAUUAGAUGUUGUGAUGAUUGUAUAACCAAAGUAUUCUCCCCAUGUGUUUGAUUAAAUGCCUAUGUGAAGGUAAAGUGCCAUACUGGUAUGAGAAUAUGAAAUGCCCAUUCAUGUACAAGUUCAUACAUGUCAAGUGUUUGAUAAAAUGUCUUAGUAAAUGAAUUAUGAAUAUAUGUAUGGACAUUGUGGUGCUUUAGAACUUGUACUUCAUGAGAUCCCCAACUUAUUGUAUUAUGGAUUGUCAAUAUUGUUCACGUAUUCCAGAAAGUCAUGCUUUGUUAGUUUUGUUCCAUUGAGUCCUGGGGGUACUUGUACCCAAUAAAUAUAGCUGUGUUCCUAGAGUUAGUGACUUAUUUUCAUGAUAUCCUCAGUCAACCCAUAAUCGCUAGAACUCAGUCAGUCAUGUGACUCAGGAAAGCUCAGUAGUUCUGUAAUCUCAAUAGUAUUUUUUCAGUUAAUGAAACUCCAUGAAUUUAGUGUAGUCCAAUUUAGUCAAUCAUAUUCAGUGUCUAUUCAGAUGGGAGUAGGAAUUAGCACCAAGUGAACACAAGGAUAAAAACACAUACUAUUAGAUGAGGGUGUGAUUCUUAGAAGUCAUCCUUGUAUUUUAGAACUAUGUAGCCAGAAUAGGUUGAGACAUCAACCCUAUUAGAUGAGGGUUGAUGAGAUGAAUAAAAACUGUCAGAUGAGGGUCCUACCAUUCUCUUUUGGGAAUAGUGCCAGAUAAGGGUCACCCGCAGCUUGUCCUUACUAGUGACAUGGUAUUAACACCCUUCCAAUCAGGGCUCAGAUUAGACCCCAGCUCAGCUAUUAUGGUGUAUUUUAGGGCAUGUCUAUUUGAUACUACUUUCCAUAGUUUUAGUUAUAGAAUUUAGGACUGUCAGAUAUAGUCAACUCAGAAUAGUACAGAACUCAGCUAGGUCCAUCAGAACCUAGACUGUCAGAUACAGUCGCUUAGUAUUAAUUAUUUUAAUUAUACAAUUAUCAGUAUCUUAUGUUAUCAGUACUCAGACUCAGCAAUCAUGUUAUCAUGAACUCAGUUAUAGUUAUUUUGUAUCUAUGUAUGCAUUCUCAUAUUUAUGUUAUCCAGUCAGUUAGUAUAAUUUAUGCAUGUGAACACUUUGAAUUUAUCCUACCUCAUAUGGAUACCAGUACAUUCAAUCAUAUUGAUGCAUUUGUGCUAUGGUGUUUUAUACUAUAGGUUUAGAAGCACGAGUUUCAGAGCAUUAGUAGUAUUCCACUACUCAGUAGUCAGAGUUAGCAAUGAGUCCUCAUCCUUUGAGGACACGAGUAUUAUUUUAUCAUUUCAGUACUUAGCCUAUUUCAGUGGUUGGAGUUAAUUGGGGACAUAUCCCAUCAACUCCUUAUUCAGACAGCUAGUGGCUUUUCAAACUAUCAUGAUUAGACAGUUAUUUCAAUUUUUUUGGGUAUUUCAUCCCCCUCUCAAAUGCUAUAUUUUAUCAGAUAUUAUGUCUCAGUUUUGGACCUUAUGGACUUUCAGCCUUUAUUUCUGCAUUUAUACAGUAUAUUAUGCAGUGUUUAGGUACAGAUUUUAGUCAUAGGUUAGCUUAUGGUCUUUUGGGGUCAUGAGCAUCGUGUAGUAUUUUGGGUACCAGAUUCAGGGUGUUUCAAACUUGGUAUCAAAGCCUAAGGUUCAAUAGUAUCCUAGGAAGUCUAAAAUCCGCAUCUAGUAGAGUCUUGUACAUGGGUGUAUUGCGCGCCCUAUUAUUGCACAGGAGGCUAUGAGAUAUUUUAGGAAUAAUUUCCCUUCUUUCAGUAUUCAUGUCAUGCUAGUGAGCAUGAGCUCAAAUUCAACUCUCAGUCUAAUCCAUUUCUUUCUUUAUUCUACAGAACAUGCCUCCCAAAAGAAGAAAUGGGAAUCAGCCAGCCCCUUAGCCCGAAGAUCCUUUGGGCGAAUAUGUUUCUUAUACAGAUUUCCGAGCUUCAUUAACUACUCUUGCUAAUUCAGUUGCUGCUCAGAAUGAAUGACCAGCUGUCAUUCCAGCCGACCCAGUGGAAAACCCUACAUCUAGGAUUCGAGACUUCACCCAAAUGAAUUCUCCACCCUUUUUUAGGUCUAAGUCAGAUGAGAACACUUAGAAAUUCACCGAUUAGGUUUAGAAGGUUACAAACAUCAUGGGGGUAAUUUCUAGUAAGAGUGUUGAGCUAGCUGCAUAUUAGGUGCAGGAUGUUGCUCACACUUGGUAUAAAUAGUAAAAGUCAGAGAGGUCAGUUGAUGUAGGAUCUAUAAAGUAGGAGAAGUUUGUCACUACAUUCUUAGAUAAAUUCUUUCCUCAAGAGCUGAGAGAGGCUAAGGUGUUAGAAUUUAUCAACCUCAGGCAGGGCAAUAUAACGGUGAAAGAGUAUUAUCUUAAGUUUACUCAAUUAUCCAGAUAUGCCCUUCAUGUUGUUAUAGACACCAGGGCCAAGAUGAGUAAGUUUGUUUCAGGGGUAAACGAUAGCAUGGUCAAUGAGUACAGGUCUAUGAUAUUGAAUAGUGAAAUGAACAUAGCCAGUCUUAUGACCCAUGCUUAGCAAAAAGAAGAACAAUAGUUUAAGAUAAGGGAGAAACAAAAUAAGAGAAUAAGGAAAGGUAGUUUCAACUUUGCUUAGCCCAAACUCAGAAGGAGGGAAUUGUUCUCAAUUCCUUCCUAAGUCAUCAGUUCCAGCUCCUUCUUCAGCUAGUGCUCUAGCUCCUAAGUUUAGGGAUGGUAAUAGAGAUAGGGCACCAGGCUCUAAGUCUCAGGGUAGUGUCAGCAAUACCCAAGGUAAUCCCCUUGUCAGACUUAUGGUAAGAUCCACAAGGGUACUUACAGAGCUGGUAGCAAUGUCUAUUUUUGAUAUGGAAAGCUAGGUCAAAGAGUCAGAGAUUGUCCCAUUCAGGUUAUCAGGGUCAGUAUAACCAUUCCUCAGCCCUGUUCGGUCGCCCAAAUUAGUAGGGUGCCACCUCCAGUGCUACUAGUGGGCAACACCGAAAUCAACUUUAUGCUCUCCAGUCUAGGCAAGAUUAGGAAAAUUCUCCUGAUGUAGUUAUUGGUACGUUAUAGAUUUUUCAUAUGCAUGCUUACACUUUGCUAGAUCCAGGUGCUUCCUUGUCUUUUGUUACUCCUUAUAUAGCAGUUGAUUUUGGAGUCAGUCCUAAAAUUUUAGAAGAUCCCUUCUCAGUCUCUACCCCAGUGGGUAAAACUAUCAUAUCCCGAUGGGUAUAUAGGAGCUGUGUGAUUUUAAUAUUUUAGAAAGUCACCUCAGCAGACUUAGUUAAAUUAGAGGUGAUUGCUUUUGAUGUCAUUCUCAGAAUGGAUUAGCUUCAGUCCUGCUAUGCCACAGUUCACUACAGAAAUAAGGUUGUUAAGUUUCAAUUUUUGAAUAAACUUGUCCUAUAGUGGAGGGGUAGUACUUCAACUUUUAAAGGCCAGUUUGUUUCUUACUUUUGGGCAUGAAAAAUAAUAUCUGAGGGAUAUGUCUAUCAUCUUGUCUAUGUUAAUGAUUCUAGCUCUGAAACUCCAGUCUUGAAUUAGUCCCAGUUGUGAGUGACUAUUUAAAUGUCUUUCCUGAAGAUCUUCCAGGAAUUCCUCCCAAAAAUAAAAUAGACUUUGGCAUUAACCUUCUUCCAGAUACUCAUCCUAUAUCUAUUCCAUAGUAUAGAAUGACACUAGCAGAACUUACAGAACUAAAAGAUAGUUAAAGAAUCUCUUAGAUAAGGGAUUCAUCAUACCCAAUGUGUCCCCGUGGGGCACACCAGUCUUAUUUGUGUGUAAGAAAGACAGUUCUUUCAGAAUAUGCAUUGAUUACCGUCAGCUCAAUAAAGUCACGAUCAAGAACAAGUAUCCACUUCCUAGAAUUAAUGACUUAUUUCACCAACUUCAAGGUGAAGUUAUUUCUUUAAGAUAUACCUCAGAUCAGGCUAUUAUUAGCUCAGAUUCAGAGAAUGUGACAUUCUAAAAACAUCUUUCUAAACUCGGUAUGGUCACUUCAAAUUUCUAGUCAUGUCCUGAUCUUACCAAUGCCCCAGAAACUUUCAUGGACUUUAUGAACCGUGUAUUCAAGAAGUACUUGGACAUAUUUGCAUAGUUUUCAUAGAUGAUAUUCUGGUCUAUUUCCACAGUGAAUGAGAACAUGCUGACCAUCUCAGAAUCGUACUUCAGACUCUUAAAAAUCAUCAACUGUUCGCCAAAUUCAGUAAGUUCAAAUUUUGGCUAAGGUGAGUAGCAUUCAUUGUUCAUAUCAUUUUUGGUGAUGGCAUUAGAGUAGAUCCUCUAAAGACUAAAGUAAUAAGAAACUUGCCUAGACCUAUCUCUCCAUUAGAUAACAGGAGUUUCUUGGGUUUGGCUGGCUAUUACAGAUGGUUUGUUGAGGGAUUUUCUUUUAUUUCAUCCCCUAUGUCCAUAUUAACUCAGAAGAAAUUCAAGUUUCAGUGUUCAGAUCCUUGUGAGAAGAUUUUUUAGGAGUUGAAGACUCGACUCACCCCAGCUUCAGUUUUGGCUCUUCCAGAUGGUUCAGAUGGUUUUAUAGUGUAUUGUCCUGGAUCCAGAGUAGGUUUGGGUUGUGUCCUCAUGCAACAUGGUAAGGUCAUAGCCUACACCUCCAAACAGCUUAAACCCCAUGAGAAGAACUAUCCUACUCAUCAUCUUGAGUUAGCAGCCGUAGUAUUUGCCUUAAAUAUUUAGAGGCAUUAUCUAUACAGAGUUCAUGUACAUGUGUUCACAGAUCAUAAGAGCCUUCAGUACGUCUUUUCUUAGAAAGAUCUUAAUCUUCGUCAGAGAAGGUGGUUAGAGUUGUUGAAAUAUUAUGACAUGAAUGUCCUUUAUUAUUCGGGCAAGGACAACGUAUUGGCCGAUACUCUUAGUAGACUGUCUAUAGGUAGUGUUGAUCAUGUUGAGGAUAGUAAGAAAAAGUUAUCUUAGGAAGUCCAUCUACUUACCAGACUAGGUGUUCACUUAGUCAAUUCAGAGAAGGGUGAUAUAUAGGUUCAGAGUAGUUCAGAAUCAUCUCUAGUUUCUGAGGUGAAAGAAAAGCAAGAUAGAGAUCCUAGUCUAGUCAAGUUAAAAGAGUGAGUCAAGAAUCAAAAGGUUGAGGUUUUCUGCCAAGGAAGAGAUAAUGUAUUGCGUUAUUAGAUCAUCUGUGGUGCCAGGAGUAGAUGACUUGAGGCAAUAAAUUCCUGUAGAAGUGCAUGGUGCGCGCUACUCUAUUCAUCCUAGGGCUACUAAGAUGUACCGCAACUUGUGGGAGAUCUAUUGGUGGAGUGGGAUGAAGAAAGAUGUCGUAGAGUUUAUGGCUAAGUGCUUUACAUGUCAGAAGGUUAAGAUAGAGCAUCAGAAGUCUAAUAGGUCUAUGCAGGAGUUCACUAGUCCUACUCAGAAGUGGGAAAAAAAUAAAUAUGGACUUUGUGAUAGGUUUACCUCGCACUAAUCAUCAACAUGAUUUAGCUUGGGUCAUUAUAGAUAGAAUGACUAAAUCAGCUCAUUUCCUUCUAGUUCAUACCUCUUAUUCAGUUGAGGAUUAUGCCAAACUCUACAUAAGAGAGUUGGUCAGAUUGUACAGUGUUCCAUUAUUUAUUAUCUUAGACAGAGGUACCCAGUUCACUUCUCAUUUCUAGAAAGCAUUCCAAAAAGGUCUUGGUACCCAAGUUCAUCUCAGUAGACCCUUCUAUCCUCAGACAGAUGGUCAAGAAGAAAGGAUCGUUCAGACUUUAAAAGAUAUGCUACGAGCGUAUGCAAUUGAUUUAAAGGGUAGUUGAGAUGACCACUUGCCUUUGAUUAUGUUUGCAUACAACAACAACUAUUAUUACAGUAUUCAGAUGGCUCUAUUCGAAGCACUCUAUGGUAGGAGAUGCAGAUCUCUAGUCGGUUGGUUCAAAGUUAGUGAGGCCUUAGUUAUAGGGCCUGACUUAGUAUUCGAUGCCUUAGAAAAAGUCUAGUUGAUUAAAAAAAAACUCCAGGUUGCUCAGAGCCGACAGAAGUCUUAUGCACAUAUGUGCAGUAAAGAUCUUGAUUUUGAGAUUGGUGACUAUGUUUAUCUAAAGAUAUCUCCAAUGAAGAAAGUGAAAAGAUUCGUCAAAAAUGGAAGGCUAAGUCCCCGAUAUGUCAUUCCCUUCAAAAUUCUUAUUCGCUUCGGCAAGGUAGCUUAUGAGAUCGAAUUACCUUCAGAUCUAGCCUUAGUUCAUCUAGUUUUCCAUGUCUCUUUGCUCAAGAAGUGCAUAGCUGAGCCAACAGUUGUAGUCCCUAUUCAUAGCAUAGAUAUUCAGAAUAACCUCUCUUUCGAAAAGAUUUCAAUCAAAAUUGUUGACUAUCAGACUCGCAAACUGAGGAACAAAGGACUCCCUCUAGUCAUAGUACUUUGCUAGAAUCAGUCCGUUGAGGGAGCUACUUCGGAAGCAGAAGCAGACAUACACACCAAGUAUCAUCACCUCUUCUCCUUUAAUUCAGAAUCAUCUUAAGGUAGCAGCUUUCCUUAAGCCUUUCAGUUUCAUGUUUAGAUUUUAGUUACAACUUGGUGUCCAGUUCAUGUUCAAAAUCCCAUUAUAAACUUGGUAUCUAUUACCAUUGCAUAUUCAGCCAUAUGUUCAUGUAUUAGAUCAGUCAUGUGUUCAUGCAUCAGACAUGUAUUCUCCUUGUGAGAAACUCAGUUAUCAUAAAUCUCAGUCAUGUAUUCAUGAGUCAGUUCAAUCAUGAAAUCAUGCAUCAGAUAUGCAUGCUCAGUAUGAAUCUUAGAAAUAUCAGUCAUAUAGUCAUGCUUCAGUUUUUUAUUUUCAGUAUUACUUCAUCUUAUCAUUUCUCCCAUCUCAAUCAGUCUCAUUCGAGGACUAAUGUUCCCAAAGGGAGAUAUUGUUAUACCCAGUACUUCUACCUAGCUUAAAUUUAUCCUAAAAAUGUCAAGGACUUGUUUUAAAGAUGAAUCCACCUUUAUAUAGGUGGUAUUUUCGAGAAUCUUUAUAGAGUUACAUUCUAAGGUAUGUCAUGUAUUGAUUCAUAGGUACCUUUUACCUAUGAAUCUUAAGCAUCUCUUUUAAAAAUCCAAGAUUUGUAUAUUUAUGAAUGUUCAUGAUUUGAUUGAGUUUAAAAGUAGUGUUCGUAUUGUUGUUUGGUUUCAUUCCAUGAUAUAGACUAUUAAAUACAAGUAUUGAUUCUAAUAUGUGAUGAAUUAUGUGAUGUUCAGGAUAAACCCUUCAAUUUACAAGUUGAUUGAUGUAUCCAUGAUUAUUAGAUGUGUUGAUGAUUGUAUAACCAAAGUCCCCAUGUAUUUGAUUAAAUGCCUAUGUGAAGGUAAAGUGCCAUAUUAGUAUGAUAAUAUGAAAUCCCCAUUCAUGUACAAGUUCAUACAUGUCAAGUGUUCAAUGAAAUGUCUUAUUCAAGGAAUUAUGGAUGUAUGUGUGGCGAUUGUGGUGCUUUAGAACUUGUAAUUCAUGAGAUCCCCAACUUAUUGUAUUAUGGAUUGUCGAUGUUGGUCACGUAUUCCAUAAAGUCACGCUUUGUCAGUUUCUUUCCAAUGAGUUUUGGGGGUACUUGUACUAAAAAAAUAUAGCUGUGUGCCUACAGUCAGUGACAUGUUUUCAUGAUAUCCUCAAUCAAGCCAUGAUCCCUAGAACUCCGUCAGUCAUGUGACUUAGGAAAGCUCAGUAAUUCUGUAAUCUCAAUAGUAUUCUAUCAGUUAACGGAACUCCAUGAAUUCAGUGUAGUUAAGUUUGGUUAAUCAUGUUCAGUGUCUAUUCAGAUGGGAGUAGGAAUUAGCACCGAGUGAACCCAAGGAUGGAAACACACACUGUCACAUGAGGGUGUGAUUCUUAGUAGUCAUCCUUGUAUUCCAGAACUAUGUAUCGAACAUAGGUUGAGACAUCAACACUGUCAGAUGAGGGUUGAUAAACACUGCCAGAUGAGGGUUGAUAAACACUAUCAGAUGAGGGUCCCACCAUUCUCUUUUGGGGGCACUAUGAGAUGAGGGUCACCUACAGCUUGUCCUUACCAGUGGCACAGUAUUGACACCCUUCCAAUCAGGGCUCAGAUUUGACCCCAGCUCAGCUAUUAUGGCACAAUUUAGGGCAUGUCAGUUAGAUACUACUUCCCACAGUUUUAGUUAAAGAAUUCAGGACUAUCAGAUACAGUCAACUUAGAAUAGUACCAAACCUAGCUAGUUCCAUCAGAACCUAGACUAUCAGAUACAGUCGCUCAGUAUCAGUUAUUUCAGUUAUACAGUUAUUAGUAUCUCAUGUUAUCAGUACUCAGACUCAGAGAUCAUGUUAUUACAAACUCAGUUAUAGUUAUUAUGUAUCCAUGCAUGCAUUCUCACGUUUAUGUUAUCCAGUCAGUAUAUAUAGUUCAUGCAUAUGAAUCCUUUGCAUUUAGCCUACCUCUCAUGCAUACCAAUACAUUCAAUCGUACUAAAUCAUUUGUACUAUGGUGUUUUAUACCAUAGGUUCAGAAGCACAAGAUCUAGAGUAUCAGUAGCAUUCUAGUACUCAGCAGUCAGAGUCAGCAGUGAGUCGUCAUCCCUCGAGGACAUGAGCACUAUUUUAUCAUUUUAGUACUUAGCUUAUUUCAGUAGUUGGAGUUAGUUGUGGACAUGUCCCAUCAACUCCUUAUUCAGACAACCAGAGGUUUUCUAGACUAUCAUGAUUAGACAGUUAUUUCAGUUGUUUGGGUAUUUCAUAGCCCACUCAGAUGUUAUAUUUUAUUAGAUAUUAUGUCUCAUUUUUGAACCUUAUGGCCUUUCAGCCUUUAUUUCCUCAUUUAUAUAGUAUAUUAUGUAGUGUUCAGGUACAGAUAUCAGUCAUAGGUUAGCUUGUGGUCCUUCAGGGUCAUGAGCACCGUGUAGCGUUUUGGGUACUAGAUUUGGGGUGGUACAAAAAAAUUAGUCAAAAUAUGACUACUGCCCUAAAUUAACAAAAUCUGCUAAUUAUGUAAUACAUCACAAAACAAAACACAAUACGGCUAAACAUAAUGGCUCUACUAGGAACAAAACUUUGGGAAAAAGAGUCAAGACAACAAAAACUCCAAGAGGAUAUCAUGACCCAUUGGCAGAUCCACCCCCAAUUGAAGAUUAUGCAUUGUCCCCAACAUAUCAAACCAUAAUGAGAGAGUUAGAAAUAUACCUGUGGCACCGUAAUCAUGAAGAUCUUAUGUUAGUCAUUCAACACGAACACAAACAACACCAUACCUUGGGUUUCCUCCUAAGAAACACCUAAUUUAUUAUCGUGACAUGACUCAGCUCCCUUGGAAUUUCAGACUUUGCCAAGGUCCAUCUCAGCAUAAACUCUAACUUCUUCCAGGUUUCCCAUGUAGUGUUUCACAUGCUGCCCGUUCUCUUUAAUUCAAAAUUCACCAUCAUGAUUUACCUCAAUAUCACCACAUGGGAAAAACUUAACCACAGUGAAUGGCCCGAUCCAUCUUGACUUCAGCUUGCCACUAAACAAGCAUAGUCUUGAAUUAUAUAACAAGACUAAAUAACAGGGUUUGAACAUUUUAUUCUCAAUCUUCUUAUCAUGGUACAACUUUAUUCUCUCUUUUUAUAUGAUCGAUCACUCAUAAGUACGGAGUUGAAAUUCGUCCACUCAUUUACCUUAAUUAGCCUCAUGUUCACUGUAUCACAUCAUUCAAAAUUCAGCCUUUUAAAGGCCCAUAGUGCCUUAUGAUCAAGCUUGACUGGUAAGUGGAAUGCUUUUAUAUACACUAGUUGGUAUGGAGAGGCACCUAUGGGGGUCUUACAAGCUGUCCGGUAGGCCCACAAUGCAUCAUCUAUCUUUCUAGACUAGUUAAUUUGAUUGGCAUUCACAGAUUUUGCCAAGAUAGACUUUAUUUCUCUGUUGGAAACUUCUACUUGCCCACUAAUUUGUGGAUGGUAAGAUGUUUACACCUUAUGACUCACACUAUACUUAUCAAGCAGGGCCAUGAACAAUAGAUUGCAGAAGAGAACCACCAUCACUAAUAAUUGCACGUGGAGUGCCAAAUCUGGAAAAAAAAUUUCUCUUUAGAAAAAUAGUGAUACUUCUGCCUUUGUUGUGUGGGACUGCAACUUCCUCCACAUAUUUUGAUACAUAGUUGACCACUACCUGAAUGUACCUCAUGCCAUUAGAGCUCAUAAAUGGACAUGCCAUUAGAGCUCAUAAAUGGACCCACAAAAUUAAUUCCCUAUAAUCAAAUAGCUCUAAUUCCAAGAUAUGUGUCAUGGAGAGUUCAUAGUGUAGAGAAAUAUUGCAUUGACGCUGACAUUGGUCUUAAGAAAGUGAAAAAUCAUGAGAAUCUUUAUAGAUUGUAGGCUAAUAAAACCUACAUUGUAGAAUUUUAUGGGCUGUCCAUGUACCACUAUGAUGGCCCCUAAUUGGUGAUGAAUGACAAGCCUUUGAAUGCUCAUCAUCUUUAACUCCGAUAUACAUAUUCGAAUUACUCCGCCAACAUAAACUCUGAAUAGAUAUGGAUCAUCCCAAAAGAAUUUUCUUACCUCAUGCAUAAAUCUCCGUCACUGUUAGGAGGAUAAAUCUUCUGGAAUGAGUUCACUUGCUAAGUAGUUGGCAAAAUUGUCAAACUAGGGACUCAAAUUAUGAGAUGCUUCUAACAUACGAUCAUCUGGAAAAUAAUCAUCUAUCUCAAGAUCAUCCCCUAUUUUCUAGUUUAUCUCCUCUUUAAGUCUGGAUAAGUGGUCUGCAACUUGAUUCCCUUUCCCUUUCCGAUCCUUCACCUCAAAAUCAAACUCUUACAGUAAGAGUAACCAAUGAAUCAAUCAUGGUUUGACAUCUUUCUUUGCCAUAAAGUACCUCAUGUUGCAUUGUCAAUAUGAAAUAUCACCUAGGUUCCAAUCAAUUAGGACCGCAACUUCUAAAAAGAGAAAACCACUACAAGUAGUUCCUACUCUGUAAUAGUAUUAUUUUCUGCACGGCAUUUAGAUCUUUGCUAGAAUAAUAGAUGGGAUGCAAGAUAUUUUUAUUUUAUUUUUCCUAGGACAACACCCAAGGCCACUCCGCUCGCAUCACAUGUCACCUCAAAAGGUACAUACUAUUCUGGUGACAUAAUAAUAGAAGCCGAAAUCAAACACUCCUUUAGGCAUUUGAAAUCCUUGAGACACUCUUCAUCAAACAAAAGUUUCACCUUCUUCUAUAAAAUUUUGCAUAGGGGAGUUGGAAUUUUAGAUAAGUCCUUGAUGAAUCUUUUAUAGAAAUUGGAGUGACCUAAAAAGCUUCGUAUACCUCUAAUUGAUACUGGAGGUACCAAUUUCUCAAUCACCUCUAUCUUUUCUUUGUCCAUCUUAGUAACAUGUUUAGAUAUCUUUUCCCUAGAACUAUACCAUUUCUCACCAUGAAGUGAUAUUUUUCCCAAUUUAGCACAAAUUGCACUCUUUGCAUCUCUAUAGUGCACUGGCCAGAUAGGCUAAACAACCAUCAAAAGAAUCUCCGACCACUAAAAUGUCAUCCUUGAAUACCUUGAUCAUAUAUUUCACCAUAUCAGAGAAUAUAGACAACAUACACCUCUAAAAAAUUAUGGUGUGUUAUAAAAUUCAAUGGCAUCCUCUUGAAUACAAAGGUCCCAUAGGGGAAAGUAAAGGUAGUCUUUUCUUGGUUUUUGGAAGGAAUCAUGAUUUGAUUGUAUCCUGAGUACCCAUCAAGAAAAUAGUACUAACCCUUGCCUAUGAAUAUAUACUAUAUAUGAUCCAUAACAACAUUGGGACGUGGUCCUUUUGUGUCAACUUAUUUAGCUUUUUGUAAUCCAUGCACACUUUCCAUCCAGUCACUGGCAUUAUUGGUACUAUGGUAUUAUUGUUACUAACUUAUUCAUUUUAUUUGGAACCACUGUUAUUCCCCCUUUCCUUGGAAUGCAUUGAAUCAGGCUAAAACCACUUACUGUCUAUAAUAAGAAAGACCAUCCCAACGUCUAACCACUUAACUAUCUUCAUUUUCACCACUUCUUGCAUUGGAGGGUUUAGUCAUCUCUGAUGCUCAAUACUAGGAAUAUUGUCCGACUUAAGUUGUAUUUUAUGUAUGCAUACCUGGUGGGAUCCCCACAAUGUCUGCAAUGGUCCAUGCAAUAGCUUUCUUGAACUUCUAUAAUACUAAUAUCAAAGGCUACACCUGCGCUCCUGCCAAAUCUACCGCAAUGAUCACCAAUAAGGUAUUAUUGGACCACAAGAAUAUGUACUACAGGUAAGGAGAGAGGACCUUCAAUUCUAAUGCUGACAGUUCUUCAAUCGAUGGUCUUGCAAGAGGUGUGUUUUUGUUCUUAAAGUUAAGAUUGAUCUUCUUAGGGGCGUACUUGUAAGAUCCUGUGCCAUGUGGGGUCACUAGACAUCUCAUCAUAGUCAUCUAUCCCAUCACUCUCAAAGUUCAUAACUACUGCGCCUAAUGUUUCUACCCUAAUAUUUCCCAAAUAGGUACAUCAAUUGUGACCAUGUCAUCAUCCACCGCUUUUAUCACUGCCACAACUAUCAUGUCAUCCAACUAUUGUGCUAUCAUGCAUAUAUUCUACAAAAUUUUAUCGCCGCUCUACUUUAAAGUGAUAUCUUUAAAGUCCACGUAAAUCAACACUCUACAGUAGCUAGGAAAGGUAUACCUAGUAUGAUUGGAGAAUCAAUACCCACUUCACAAUCUAAAAUCAUCAUCAGUAUAACCCAACUUCUCAAACUCUAUCUCAAGUGCCUCAUCAUAAACAACCAACUCCUUCUUUGGCUCAUCAGUAGUGGGCAAUAGUGCUCGUCAGGUGAGGAGUCAUCACUAGGACCAAUAUCCAUACAACGAAUGAGUGUUAGAAGAUUUUGUACAUUGUCACCAGCUAAUGCUUCUGACUAUCUCUCAGCUAAAGUAAUAGAGAUUUUCCCAUACUACUACUCAAUAGCAGUUUCAUGUGACUCAAACUUUUAGGCUAAUCCAGAAAUUUUUGUUUUAAGUUCUUUGAGGCUAGCCUCUUGGCUCUCUUUACCCUUCAUCAAUAGGGUCAACAUAUCUUUGAUUCUUGAUUCUGCUUCUCUUCUUCUUGGUGGAAUGUACUUAUCUCUCUUAUCAUAAUAGUUUCAACCUUGAUUCUCUUGCGCUUUGGAUAAAAAAUUGGCCUACUGAUGAUCCACGCACUUCACCUCCUUAGAUAUCCCAAACUCAUACACUUAAGAAGAAUUGAUGGUUGUAAAUUUUUUGACCAACACACUAAUUUUCAUCCAUUAUAAUAAAAUAUCAUGAGCUAUAAUGUUCUCAGCUCUCUCUGUGCAUAGGAAGUUCCAAUGGCAUACAUAUUAGAACCUCUCUCAACCUUUCAAGUUUACCACCCUUAGUUAGUUAAUGAUAUUUGAUCCAUAAUACCGGAAGCUAUCUCCAAUCGUAAUCUCAUAAAGAUCCUCUAGAAAUAGUGUAUGACAUUGCUCUGGAACUAUUAGUGAGGGUUAUAUUGAAUAUUUCCGACAUGCUUGUCCUUGAUAUGCGGUUGUUGGGUACCAUACUAAGCUUCUUCUGUAACCGGAACUAUGCAUCAUACAUAGAUUUUGACUGCAACAGCCUAAAAUUUUAAGUCUCAUCAUUGAGCUGCAAUACCCUAGAUGGAGGAAAGAACCUAUUCAAGAAUUGUCUGUGUAGCUCCUUCCAUGUAGUAAUAGAUCCUCUUGGCAGUUCCCAAGAAAUAAUGAUGCUUCACUAGUAAGUGAGAAAGGGAACAACCUUAGUCUCAGUGCUUUCUGAUCUACUCCCGGUAUGGUAUAUGAAGUGUAUAUCUCAUUAAAAUUUGCUAGUGCAUGUUUACGUCAUCUAUCGUUAAUCUCGCAAACACUCUUUCAAGUACAAAAGAUAAAUCAUAGAACUAGAUAUAUAGAGCAUGAUGACAUCAGGAGAUAAAGAAGGAGGGAUAAUGGAUCCUGUAUAACAUGGCUCAUAGUAUCCUAAAUCUUCCUCAUCAUCAACAUAUGACUGAACAUAUUGAUAUCGGGGAUCAAUUAAGGUCGGCAUUCUCUGUCUCUAUUUUGAUAUCCAUCGAGUAUUGCUUGGUGGUCUACUUUCUGUCUCUGCUCAGCUAACUCCAUUUAAGCUGACUACUCACUAGUCUAUCAGUAACACUAUCCUGAACUUCGUAUUCUGUGAGAUUUUCCCUCUUUGACUUUUACAUCCUACUAUAUAAUUAUAGGAUUUUCUUUGAAAUUGGUGGGAGUAAGGGAUUGACUCUACUCCCUGUGAUAGGCAUACACAGGCAUGUGCCCAAGUCAGGAUAAUAAAUAAAAAAGUCAAAAACUGCAAUGACUUCAAUCCAGAAAUCAACAUUGUAUUCCCUGGCAACGAAGAAAAUUUAUUGAUGAUGUCCAACCAAUACCUCCUUUUAAAUGAUAGUACAAUAGAUGUCAAGAUAUAGUAACCCAACUAAGGUUAGGGUCAAAUAAUAAGGGAACACGUGGAAUUGUAGUUAUUAGCAGUUGUAGUCUACAGGCAGUUCUGGGAAGUAAAUGGGGGAUUUCUUUGUAGUAAUCUCAAGCAAGUAACAAUAUUAAUAACAUUCAUGAUUAAAGCUUGUAUGAAAUCAUAAUGAUAAGAUGAAUAAAGACCUAAAACUGUAACUUGAUUAAUCAAUUGAAGUAAAUAGAAGAGAAUCCCAAGAUCAAAGAUGGAUCUUGGAAUCAAAAUAUAUUUCUGAGCAUCAAAUACGUGUAACCACUACUAAAAAGUACAUAAAGGGUAUUCAUUGUAGAAGAGAAAAUCCUAAAAACAAAGUCAGAAUGAAAUAUGAAAAAACAAGGUCAGUGGCCACAUGUAGUCCACACCUAUGGUCAGGGCACGGGUGCAGGUUGUACCUAUGGUUUGGCUUCGGGCUAGGUAUGAACAACAGGUACCGGAUAGGAAAAAUUUCUACAAGUUGGACUCUUGGGAUUUUGAAAUUCUGAUACCUACUUUGUGUACCUGUGGUCUGUAGGUCCUACCUGCGAUCAGUGGAUUAACUUAAUAAGUUUAGGAGACAGAUUUUUAUCUCUUCUUUGAUUCUCAAACAUGCUUUGAUCACGAUCAAGCCGAAAACACCCCAAACAUUCAUAAUCGCUCCAAAAGUAACCAAAACACUCUUUUUUUGACUUUUUUCAUGAACUUAGAAUUUAAAACAUGGUUUCCUGCAAAACAUACCCAAAACAGAUCAUAUCUAACAAAAAGGCCUCAAAAUUUGCAUAUUUUCCUUAUUUUAAGGGUUGAAAGUGCUAUUUAACUAUAUCAUAUCUAGGACGCCCAAGAGAAAUAACAAUAAGGCAUUUAGCCAUCAAAAUAUCCAAUUCUCAUCAUUUUUAACCAGUCACAUUUACUAUCAAUCAGACAUUUUACCCAGUUUCAUUAGUCACUAACCGUAACCAUAUAAUCAUAUUCCAUUCUAUUAUCACCAUUAGCCACUUAUCAUCAAUACCCAUUAAACACUAUUUUUUAGCUAAACUAGGAUCAUUAGCUAGUCCAUAGAUUCCUAGACAUCGUAUAAUUAUAGCCGUUUAUUAGAUGACUAUUCAACACAUAGCCAUUUUUAUAGCCAACAUUCCUUAACUAACCAUUUUUUAUCACUAACAUUAAUCACUAAGUAAGUCCUCAUUUUAGAACUAGUUUCCCACUUACCAACUAGUCUUGAUUAACCAUUUAAAGAAUAUCCAUCACGAAUCCUUAUUUAUCAUUAAUUAUUAACUGCACCACCUUGUAUGGAUUUAGCACUAGUGAGAUACAUCUGGCAUCCUAAUGUCACAUUACAUCCACAUUUCACCCAUGGAGAUAUAUAUGUAUAUAUAUAAGCAUAAAAUUGCCAUACAUAGGGGUAGAUGGACUCAAACCAAUAGAUGUGGUCGUAGUCACAUAAAAUAAUUAUCCUCCAGCCUUGCUGGGUAUAAUAUCAUAGUCACCCUUCGACCUUGCUGGGUAUCAUUAUUAUAACAUCCUCUGGCCUUGUUGGGUAUCAAUAUCAUGAACACAAUCUCCUCCGGCCAUGCCGAGUAUAAAUGUAUCAUAAUAGUAUUCUCUGGCAUUUUAGGGUAUCAUCAUCAUAUUCAAUUUAAUGUCGAAAAUAAAAAACAAGCCCCACAAGGUCUAAAGUAAAUAACAAACUGCAUGAGGGCUAAAGUAAAGAACAAGCCCCACGAGGGAUGAAGUAAGGAACAAGUUAUAAGCCAAUAAUCUAGUCCAUUAGAUCAUGCACAUAACCAUAUGCAUUAUCAUGAAUAAUGGCCCACAAUUAACCUAUUUGUAUGCCCACCAUUAGCAUAAAGAGAGUUUAUCACUAACUUGAGCAAUAGCAAAUCCGUAGCUUAAUUAAUAACAUGUCAUGGGCUCCUUUAAUAGAAAAAACAAUAGCUCAUUAUGGCAUCAUUAAUAAUUAUAGUCAAUCAGCCCAUGAACAUUAGUUCUAAUGGCAUUACCAUAAUUUACUAACAAAAGUUAGCCAAUAUGAUUCCAAGGGAGCAUUUCCAAGGUAUUUAGUAAGCAUCUAAGGUCUUCAAGAGAACUACAUCAAUACAAACUGAAGGUGGGUCAAGAAACCCCUUCUAAUUCCCUAAUACAUUCUAAGUCCAAAUUCUACCCCUGACUAGGUUAAGAUAUCUAAAUUAACUCCUAGAUGUAUAGCAAGCCACCAAUAGUCCUAAGGUAAUGGUCUUCCCCAAGAACUACACCUAACUCAACAAUAGUAUCGAAGGUACUUCCGUUAAUGUAAGAAACUAGAGUCAACUUACCCCAACAUAAGUGACAAGGUCAUUCUCAUACAACAAGAGUAUGAAGGCAUCCUCAUGCUAACCAUGACACAUGAGCCAGGUUCAAGACUACAAGUCAAGCAUUCUGAUCUAUGAAUUCAAGUGAACUAAAUGUUGCAAAAAAUCCAAAGCCCUAAUAUUAAUUAAUACAAAGCCUAAAACCCCUCCCAAUAUAACAAGAUAUCACAUUAAUACUAUAUCAUCGCUCAAUCUAACAAGGAAUAAGACUAACCUACCUCCAAUCCAAAGAAAGCUCACAAAUUACUAAGACUUUGCUUUUCCCCUCUAUGAAGAUUAUUCAAGGUUCCAAGACAUCAAAAACACAUUCUACAUGUCAUUAUGAGAAUAUAGAUACCCAUAUUGCACUAUUUUGCUUUGAAUCCAAAAACAACACCAAAAACCUCAAGUGGGUCCUAUUUAAGGAAAACACAUUUUUGAGGUCAACCCAAAGUUUGUACAAUUUCAAGGAAUCAUAAAACUCAAUAAAUAUAUAAAAAAUAAGUUUAUUUGGGGCUAAAAUAAUGACAUCAAGCUAUUUGGGGUUUUGGACAAGAAUUCAAGAAAUUCAAGCAUGAAAUUGAAGGAUCCUUAACUUAAAUCUGAUGUUAAUAGCAAAAAUAUGUGUUAAUAAAGCUCUCAAGUCACACCCAAGACUCAAUUUAAGGUUAGCACACUAUCUUAGGGUUUUUAGGUCUAAAAGAUGAGUGAGAAAUGCCCAAAAUGCAACCUAAGGGCCCCUUUUAUGCCCAUAACAUGUACUUAGAUGUGUUUAUCACAAAGCAUGGAUGGAAAUUUCCCUAGGUCAAUCAUAAUGCCCUAAUGGCGAUCAUAAUAAGAGGAUCAUGAUGCCUUUUUGUGCGAUCGAACAGGCUUCAGCACCAGCAAACUUGGUAAAUUUUCCAAGUUCCCAACGAUGCCUUAGGAUUCUUGUGGAACUCGAUAUAUGCAAAUGAAUUUAUAGCAUACCAAAAUUCAAUGUUAUAGAUACGUUGGCAGACUAGAAUAUUCCAUAUGAGGUUGUUUCGACCAAAUAUGGGAUCCACACUUAAACUUUUAAUUUUCUAACUUUUCGACCAAUAGUUUGAAAUGAGCUCGAUUGGAUUGGAAUCCAAACCAUGGGCUACCUAGCCUAAAAUCAAUAUUCCAGAGUUGCUGGUGCAUUAUUAAUUUGCAUCCGAGGUUGUGUCGACCAAAUAUGGUCCCACACCCAAACUUUCAAUUUUCCAACUUUCUGACUAAUAGGUCAAAAUGAGAUCGGGUGCAUUGGGACCCAAACCAAAGGUCUAUCUAGCCUAAAAUUGAUAUUCUGGAGCUGCUGGCAUAGUCAAAAUAGGCAUUCAAUGCUUUUUUACUGAAGUUUUUCCUGGUCACCAUUUGGUACUAGCAAAGAUUUCUAGAUAAGAAAUUGGAUCUAAGAACUAAAUAAACUGUCUGAUAACCGAACUAUCAUUUCCAGCAAGUCAUAAAUAACUUGGGUUUGCUACAGAAAAGAUCUAACAAUGAAAAUAAGUGGAAAUAUGGAAAAUAACCUGAAGGUUCAUUACAAUAUUCACUACUAAAGGAUAUUUCAUGUCCGAAAGUAAAAGAUGAGAAAAUACCUGAAGUCUCGAACGGGUGAGGAUACUAGGCCCAUGUCUUACAUUCGAUCUCUUAAGUAUCCUCCUCCAUUGGGCAGUGCCUCCACUGAACCUUAACUACAGAAAUCUCUCUAGUAUGCAACCACCUCACAUCACUAGCCAAAAUAAGAACAGGAUUCUUCACAGAGGUCAAAUGCUCAUCUAACUGGACUAAGUCCCAUCUAAGCACAUUAGAUGGAUCAAGAAUAUAUUGUCGCAACAUAGAGAUAUAGAAAACUAGAUGAACAAAAAAAAUUUGGAGGUAUAGAUCACUCAUAAACUACCUUACCCACUGUGAAAAGCAUCUAAUAAAGGAUAAUUUAUUGAGUGCUGAGCUUACACUUCUUCCUGAACCUUAUCACACCCUUCAUAAGAGAUACAUAGAGAAGUACAUGAUCACCAAAUUCAAAUCUCAAGGCAAGAAUCCUAUAAUCUGAAUAGGCCUUUUGCCUACUCUACGUUACUCGUGGCAUAUCCUGAAUCACCCUGACUCUAUCUAACAAGUCCUGAAGAAAAUCCAUACCACGGGACCUCACCUCAUGAGUUUAAACUAUUUGACAAGAGAACGACAUCUCUUACCAUACAAAUCACCAUCUCAAUACUUGAAUGAUAACUAUUUUUAUACGCAAACUUUUCCAAGCAUUAUUGUUGAUCCCACUAGCUUAAAAAAUCCAUAACGCAGGAUCAAAGCAUAUCUACAAGUACCUAAAUAGUUUGAUCAAAUAGGACAUCAAUCUACGAGUUAAAGGUUGUACUCAAAUCCACUUGAGAACCCAAAUCCUCCUGAAAUUCUCUUAAAACCCUCAAAGUAAACGUAAAUCCACUACCUAAAAUGAUAAAAAUUAGCACUCCAUGCAAAUGGACUAUCUCCCAAACAUAGAUAUGGGCUAAUCUCUCAGUACUAAAGGUCAUCUUUAUAGGAAUAAAGUGUAUUGAUCUAUAAUAAUCCAAAUACCUUCAAAACCAUAGAAAGUAUGAGGCAAACCACUAACGAAGUCCAUAAUAAUCUGUUCCUAUUUCCACUCAAGGAUGGGAAACCUCUUAGUCAAACCACAAGGACACUGAUGCUCGACCUUUACCUGCUGACAAAAUAGGAAACGAGCUUCAAAUUAUACCACAUCUCUAUUUAUGCCAUUCCACCAAUAAUUCUGCCUCAAAUCUAUAUACAUCUUGGUUGUACCUGGAUGAAAAGAAUAUCUAAAGUUGUGAACCAAGAUUAGUUUACAUUAGAUAGUUUUGAUGGGUUAUAAAUACCCGAUACCUAGAUAUUCAUGCAUGUUUUAGAUUUCAAGAUACACGAUAUACAGAUCAUUAUUUCAUCAUUAUUUUUAGAUUAUUAUAUUCAUGUUGAGCAUCCAUAAAUUGUGAAUCAUGUUAAAUUUAUAUAGUAACAGUGUGAGUUUAGUUAAGAGUAAGACUUAGCACCGAGCAAACCUAGAAAUUAUGGCUCACCUGCCAGUUAAGGACUGAGACCUUUAUGAGAAGUUACUGAGUUCCAAACUAUGUUGCCACCAUAGGUUAUGAGAUGUCACCUACUAAUUAAGGACUAGCAUUUUUAUAGGUCACCCACCAGUAAAAGACUGGCACCCUAGUCGUUUAGGACACUAAUUUUAUGGAUUCACAUAGCCCGUGUCGGUACUCGUGGUAAGGUAUUGACAUUCUUCCAACUUGGGUUAAAGGUUGGACGCCGAUUGGCUUAGAUUAGGCCAUGUUAGUUAAGUGUUAGUUCCCAUAAUUUCAAUUCAGCAUUCAAAUUUCGACAACUUAGGUUUGCAAUGCCAAGUGUCUAUACAUCAGUUAUUUAGUUAUUAAGAUUAUUUCGGUAUAUGUUUAUGCUUGUUCUUUCACUUAUUUUACAUGUUCAUGCAUUCAUAUUCAUGCCUAUAUGUAUUUCAGUUAGUCCUUAUCUCAUCUACCAGUAUAUUAAAAGUACCAACUACAUACUUGUCUUUAUGCUAUGUUGUCCUAUAAUAUAGGUUCAUACAUGUAGUUCCUCAAUCAUACUUUCAUAGUUCGUGUGCACUCAACUACAAUAUUGGCAAUUCUUUAUCAUUCAAGGAAUAAUUAUACCAGUUAUCAUGCUUUCUAUUAUUUUAGUUUAUGUUUAUUUUAGAAGUUAGAGUUAGUUGGGGACUUGUCCCAACAACUUAUCAUGCUUAGAGAUUUUUAAACAAUUAGACAAUUAUUUAUGUAUUCAUUGAUUUGUUAUAGACUUCUCUGAUUUUUACUUGAUUAUUUAAACAUAUAUUAAUAGAAUUCUGCAUAAUUUUUUUGUUGUCUCCCUUCAGUAUUUACAGCUUAUGCCAGAUCAUGGGUUAGUUUGGGGUCACCUGUAGCCUUAAGCAUUGUGUUACGACUAUAAGGUAGUCUCAGGCUAUGAAAAACAUGGUAUCAAAUCAUAAGUUUUAAAGUGCCCUAGGGUGUCUAAAAGCCCCAUCAAGUAGAUUUUUGUUCAUGGGUGUGAAGCGCGCCACAAUUAUGGGCGAGAGGCUAUGAUAUAUUUUAGGAAAGUUUCCUUUAUUUUAGUAUUCAUGUCGUGAAAUAGGUCAUGAGCUCUAUUAAAAUUCUCCUUCUAACUCAUUCUCUACUAUUUACAAAAAAUGUCUCCCAGAAGGACUAAUAGAAGAAGAAAUAGGGAAUAAUCCUGUAACGACCCGAUUUGCUAAACCAUAAUGCUACACGGUGCUCAUGACCUCGAAGGACAACAAGCUAAUCCAUGACUGAUAUUUGUACCUGUAUACUGCAUAAGAUAACAUAAUAAUACAGAAACAUGCACUGAAAGUCCAUAAGGUUCGAUCAUGAGCAUAACUGAAUAACAUAACAUAUAUGUGGGGUAAUAGAAUACCCAAAACAAAACUGAAGUCUAAAAUAUAAUAGUCUGUAUCUAGUUUGCAUCUAGUCUGGAAGCCUCUAUUGUCUGAAGAAUCUGAAUAAAUAGAUGAUGGGACAUAUCCCCAACUAAUUCCAACUAAUAAGAUAAUCAAUGAGAUACUAGAAAAUCAUUAUAUCCUUGAAGGAUGAGGACUCACUUCUACUCUGACUGCUGAAACUGGAAUCUACUGCUGAUCUGGAACUCGUGUCUCUGAACCUAUGGUGUAACAUAAAAAGAAAGCACUAUAGUGCGAAUUCAUCAGUACAUAUGUACCAAGUAUACAUGUGAGGUAGGAUAUAUGCAAUGGUUCACAUGCAUGAAUAAUGCUAACUGACUGUCUAACAUAAAUGUGAGAAUACAUGCAUAAAUACAUAACUAUAACUGACAAUGUGAUGUCAUGAUUUCUGAGUCUGUAUACUUAAAUGUGACAUGCUAGUAACUAAUAUAACUAAUAGCAUGAAAGACUAUAUCUAAAUAAUACUGAUAACAUGGGUGACUGUAUCUGAGUAUAACUAAUAAAGUGGGUGACUAUAGCUGAUAGUCCUGAAUCUGAUGGAACUAUUUGAGUUCUGUACUGUAUCUGACAGUCCUAAAAUCUGAAGAACUAUCUGAGUUCUAUUACUGAGAUGGAUUGACUCUAUCAAACAGUCCUAAUUCUAUAACAUAAAACUGUGGGAAGUAGUAUCUAACCGACAUGCCCCAAAGGUGCUAUGAUAGCUGAGCUAGGGUCCAAUCUAUGCCCUGAUUGGAAGGGUGUCAAUACCGCACCACUGGUAAGGAAAACAUGUGAGUAACCCUCAUAUAAUAGGUAACUCCAGUGAGAAUGGUGGGAAUCCUCACAUAACAGGUUAAGCCACCUCAUUUACCUUCAUAUAGUAGGCUAUGAUGUCUCAACCUAUGUUGGCUACAUAGUUCUAAAAUGCAAGGAUUACUUUGAGGAAUCACACCCUCAUAUAACAGGUGGGUCCCCAUCUUUGGGUUCACUCAGUGCUAAUUCCUAAUCCCAUCUGAAUAGAUGCUAAACAUGAUUUACUAAACUAAACUGAGCAUGGACUAAGUUACUGAAUUUCUGUGGCUGACAGAAUACUACUGAUAUCUAACAACUGACUGAGUCAUAAGAUUAUAAAGAUUUCUCCUGAGUCAUAGGACUAUAUGAAGUCUAAGAGUUCAUAGCUUGGCUGAGAGCAUUAUGAAAACAUGACAUGGCUCUAGGCACACAGCUAAUAUUUUGGGUACAAGUACCCCCAGGACUCGAUAGAAGAAAACUGACAUAGCAUGAUUCACUUGAAGACUUGACUAACAUCAUAAUACAUACUACAUUCAUAGGAGCGUUUCAUAAAACAUGUAAUAGGAAUGAACUUGUACAUACAUGGGGAUUUCAUGAUAUCAUGCAAGUUAGACAAUAUUUCGUUAUCUAGGCAUUUAAUCAAACAUAUGUCAGGCAUGGUACAUUUAAACAUCAUUAUUCAAUUCUAAUUUCAUCAUUCAAGGUUUUAAAUCUUAAGUAAUUCGCGAGAUCAUACACCUCUCUUUCCUACUUAUAAUGGAAAAGGGUACAGCUGGUUGGUCCAGCCUAUUCUUGAAAUAAACAACUCGCACACACUCCCUUUCUAAAAAAUAUUCCUUCUCUACCAUUUUCUUCAAAAAACUUAAGCUAAUUAAACUGAUGCUGGUGAUCUCGAAGGGAGAUAUCGAAACACUCAAUGCAGAUAGCUCCGGUGGCCCCCGCUUCUGCCUCUAUCAGGCGGCGAUAGCCCCCUCGCUAUUCAUCACAGCUUUCUUACAGAUGCUUACUACAAUGUGAUGUUAUGUGGCCUCGUAGUUGGGGAUGCGAGUAGCUGCUGUGGUUUCAUAAAAAACAGAGGAAACUAUCAUUAUUCCUAGUGUACUCAGUUCUAUAAAUUAACAAGUCCACAUAUAAACUAUCAACAAUCAUGGAGUAGAAUCCAUUUUCACAUUUAUAAAACAUGAACAUGAGAAGCCAAAACAUGAAAACAUGUAUGAAAUCCAUUACUUAAGUUUUAGAAAAGGAUUCUUGGACUUCAUGGAUGAAAGAGGUCCAUGAAUGAACACUAUGCAUACCUUAGAUCAUGAUUUCAUGAAGAUUGAUGGUGAAACCUUCCUGAAUUUGAAUCCCCAAUAGAAACCCUAGUUUGUUCUUGAGAUAAACUUGAGAGAAACUAAUAUUUUUUGGGUGAAAAGUGGAUGAAUCACAUGUUAAAAGAAUUAUAUAGGGGUAGGAAGUUGACCCUUUUAACCCUGGAAAAUUCAUUAAAUUUUCAGUAAAAUUUCCCGAGUUGGGCCCUUGGUGUUAUGUGGCGCUAUCGCGCCGUGUCACUAGAAAUUGACAAUUAAGAAACUGCAUGGUGGUGCGAUGCGGAGCUGUUAUGUUGCCACCUUGUCUAAGACUUGAAAGUUUGGCACAAUGUUCCAGUAUCAUGGAGAAAUACUGGAAAUUGACAAUUGCCAUUUGAGCUAUCUCCGUGAUGCGCUGAAGGCUCAGGUCAAACACUGUCUAACUAAAAAGGCUCUAACUCUUCACCCAGGUGUCGGAUUUGGGUGAAUUAUAUAUCGAUGAAAAUCUUAUUCAAUUUCCCACGUGAUAGGUAUAAAAAAUAUAGAAAUAACACAUGUAUAAUAAUGAAUUAUUAUUUCAAAGUAAGUCCUAAAAUCCUUGAGAUGAUUUUACAACUAAGAAAAAGCACAGGUAUUACAAACCCGUACCACUUGUUCUCUAAAUGAACAAGUAUUUCACAUUAAAUUUAGGGAUACCUUUACUUUACUAGACUGAUCUAUAUCUGCACAAAAUAACAAGUAAGUCAUUACCCCAACCAACCUUAUGGUGAGCACGACAGAAGCCAAAAUCUGAGAUUUAACUCAGAUGAAUCCUCCAACAUUCUUUGGAUCUAAGUUUAAGGAGGAUCCAUAUGAGUUUUUGAAUAGUGUGCAGAAGGUGACUGACAUCAUGGAUGUCACUUCUAGUGAAAAUGCUAUCUUAGUUGCUUACGAGUUGCAUAGGGUAGCUCAUACUUAGCUUAAGAAAUAGAAAGAGGAUAGAGGUACUGAUGCAGGACUUGUAGAGUGGGAUGAGUUUGUUACUGGUUUCUUGAGUAUGUUCUUUCCAUUUGAAUUGAGAGUGACCAAGGUGCAGGACUUUAAAAAUCUGAAGUAGAGUAACACAAGUGUGAAAGAGUAUUCAGUCCAGUUUACCCAGUUAGUGAGAUAUGCUCUAAUUAUGGUGGCUGAUUCCAGGUCCCAAAUGAGUAAGUUUGUGUAUGGUAUGUCAGAGAUAUAGCCAAGGAUUAUUGGACCUCUAUGUUGAUUAUGAAGAUGGACUUUUCUAGAUUGAUGGUCCAUGCUCAAUAGAUUGAGAAUGAGAAGCUCAAGAAAAGUGAAAGAGAAUAAGAGGGCCAGAACUGGUACUUUAACUUUUCUCAACAAAGGGCUGAUGGAGCGAAUCAUUUUCAGCUUUUCCAAAAAUUAUUAGCCCCCACCCCAUUUUAUGCCAGUGCUCCAAUACCUAUGUUCAGACAAGACCAUCUGGAUAGAGCACCAGGUUUUAAGUCCCAAGGUAAUGUUAAUAGUGGCCGAACUAACUUAGUUUAUACGAGAUAUGGUAAGAACUACAAGGGUGAGUGUAUGGAUGGCAGUGACACAUGUUUUGGGUAUUUAAAGUAAGGCCAUAAUAUCAGUGAUUUAUUGGUGGUUGCCCAGAGGUGUAAGGAUUUUAAUCAAUAGGGUCAGACUAAUUUCUCUUCAGCUCCAACUAGUCGCCAGACUUAGUAGGGUACCACCUCAAGUGCCACUAGUGGGCAGUGUAAGAAUCAACUAUUUGCCCUUCAUACUUGAUAGGAUCAAGAAGUUUCUCCUAAUAUGGUUACUGGUAUGUUACAAGUCUUUCACCUUCUUGUUUAUGCAUUAUUAAACCCUAGAGCUUCACUUUCCUUCAUGACUCCUUAUGUAGUAGUAGAAUUUGGCGUCAGUCUCAAAAUAUUAGCAAAACCAUUCUCGAUGUAUGCUUUAGUAGGUAGUUCUAUUAUAGCCAAUGGGUAUACAAAAAUUUUCUAGUUAUAGUAUCCCAAAAAGUCACCUUAGUCAAUCUCAUAGAAUUAGAGAUGACCGAUUUUGAUAUCAUUCUUGGCAUAGAUUUGCUCCACUCUUGCUAUGACUAAGCUGAUUAUAGAAAUAAAGUUGUCCAAUUCUAGUUUCCUAAUAAGCCAAUUAUAGAAUGGAGGGGCAGUACCUCAACGCCUAUAGGUUGAUUCAUCUCUUAACUUAAGGCAAGGAAAAUGAUCUGUAAGUGUUGUAUCUAUUAUCUUGUUUGAGUUAAGGACUCAAGUUCCAAAACACAGGCUCUUGAAUCUAUUCCAGUAGUAAAUAAGUUUCAAGAAGUGUUCCUUAAAUAUCUUCCCAGAGUUUCUCCCGAGAGGGAAAUCAACUUCAGAUUAGAUCUUCUUUCAUAUACAUAGCCUAUUUUAAUUACACCAUACAGAAUAACUCCAACUGAGCAUAAGGAGUUGAAUGAACAAUUGAAAGUUAUUUUAGAUAAGGGAUUUAUCAGGAAUAAUGUUUCCCCUUGGGGUUCUCCUAUUCUCUUCGUGCAUAAGAAAGAUGGUUCUCUCAGAAUGUGCAUCGACUACCUUCAGUUGAACAAUGGUACAAUCAAGAAUAAGUAUACUCUCUCAAUAAUUGAUGACUUUUUCAACCAAGUUCAGGGAGAUAAUUAUUUCUCUAAGAUAAACCUCAAAUCUGGCUACUAUUAUUUUAGAUUUAGAAAAUGUGACAUUUCAAAGAAAACCUUCAAAACUCGAUAUGGUCACUUUGAAUUUGUAGUUAUGUCUUUUGGACUAAUUAAUGCUCCUGUAUCUUUCAUGGACUUGAUGAAAAGAUUGUUCAAGUAGUACUUGGACAUAUUCAUGAUAGUCAUGAAAUAUGAUAUCCGCAUCUAUUCCCGUAGUGAUGUUGAGCAUGUAGACCAUUUGAUGAUUGUUGUGCAGACCCUUAAGAAUCAAUAACUAUUCAAUAAGUUCAAUAAAUGUGAAUUCUAGUUGAAAUUAGCAGCUUUUCUUUAUCACAUUAUUUUUGUUGAAGGCAUUUGAGUUGAUCCUCAAAAGAUUGAUGAAGUAAGGAAUUAGCCGACCCAUCUCUUUAUAAGAUAUUAAAUGUUUCUUGGGAUUAGAAGGUUACUAUAUAUAAAUUGUUAAGGGAUUUUAUUCUUUUUCCUCUUUCAUGUCUAGACAGACUUAGAAGAAAGUCAAAUUUCAGCAGUCAAAUUUCUGCAAGAAAAGUCUUUAGGAAUUGAAGACUCGACUCACUUCUUCCCCAGUAUUGACUCUACCAAAGGGUUUAGAUGGUUUAGUAGUUUAUUGAGAUGUUUCAAGAGUUGGUCUAGGUUUUAUUUUGAUGCAGCGAGGCAAUGUGAUAGACUAUGCCUUUAGACAACUUAAUCCCCAUAAAAAGAAUUAUCCAACUCAUGAUCUUGAGUUGGCAAUAGUUGUUUUUGCCUUACAGAUUAGGAGGCAUUAUCUAUAUGGGGUUCAUGUUGAAGUUUUCACUGCUCACAAGAGUUUACAAUAUUUAUUUACGUAGAAGGAUUUAAAUCUUUUCCAGAGAAAGUAGCUUGAAUUUAAGAAAGGCCAUGGUAUGAGUGUGUUGUAUAUAAACAUAACGGUUGUCUAACGAGAUACUAUGCAGAAUAAGGUUGUCAGGUGGGUCACAUAUUGCGCAUUUACCGCUUUCGAAUUUUUAAAAUUGGAUUUAUACUUUAUCGACUUAUUUCAUAUCAUGGUUCAGGCGUUAAAAAUCAGUGAGGUUUACUCUUCCUUUUCGAUGCCCGUGGAACUACUGUCAAUGGUUUACUCAAUUACUUAUUGGGAAUGUUAAAAAAAAAGAUUACUACGUGAUUUUUUGAAUAUGCCUAUAUCUAUCGCUUUUCCUUCAUUGAUUUGAUUCUUUCAAUAGAUACCGAGAUUCAUAUUGGAAAUAAAAAAUAUAGUAAUUCAAACUAUAAGACAUAAGAGUAAUUCAGAUUGAUCAGAACAAAUAGAUAUAGCAAAUAAAUGGAAUUGGAUGCUAUGUCACUCCCAUAUAUGGAAUUGAUAUUCACAUAUAUCAAGAUAAUAUUGUGGAUUGAUCUAUAGAUCCAUAUCAAAUGCAGCCUCUAUCUUUAUUUUAGUCCAGGGAGCAGCUACAAUCUAACUAAUAAAUAGUAUGGUAGAAAGAAAUAGAUGAAUCUUUCUACCAUACUAUCUAUCUAUUAGAAUACUGCCGAUUCUAGUCCACUCAUUUCAUUUAAGACAUGAAAUUGGAAUCUUUUUCAUUUUAUUUCGGCAAUUUUGGCUAAGAACUCAGAAGUCAAGUUUCAUUCAAAUUAGUUAAUAAUUAAUCGUUUUGACUGACUGUUUUUACGUAAAUGAUAAGUAGAAAAGCGGUAGGAACUAGAAUAAAUAGUGCAGUAGCAAUAAAUGCAAGAAUAUUUACUUCCAUAAUCUCAUCGGUUUUUUACUUCGCAAUAACUCGGGAUUUAAUCCCAUAGAGAUGAUAAAUCUUUGGCCUGUAAAUUCAAUGAAUGAAUAUUACCUCUCGAUGAUCUUGAAUCGGAUCAAUAUCAUGAAUAACAAUAUCUGAACUAUCAAAUCAAUUCGUCGUCGAGAAUUGAAUAGUAUAACAUAGGAAGUUCUUUUAUCCAUACCGCCCCAAACUUGGAUUCCUGACCCAAUCCAACCAAAAUUCCUUUAUUUAUCAUUUUUUAUCAUCUGUUCUUUUUUUCUCUCUAAUCUAUCUAGUUCCUUCUUGUACAAUCAUCUGAUGAAGUCUCAUCAAACAGCUCUUCCACUUCCAGUGGUCACAUAGUUACAAACCCAAACAAACAAUAAAAGCUAAAUGGAAAAAGAAAGGAGUUUAGAACGAAACUAUUUUUGACUUGGAAGACAAAGAAGUGUGAUAAAGAUGCGACCGUAUAAAAUGAAUAUUCAUCAAAUUUACUAUUUUUCAAUUUGUUCUUUCGUCGAUGGGGCCUUAAAACAAAAUGAAAAAUCGGAAAAAUGAUUCAUUCCCCUUUCUAAGAGGAGUAGGAUCUUUGGUUGAUCUGUCCUUCCCCCUCCUUUCUUCGUAGAUUAUUAGCCCCGGGACACCUAUACCAAAAGCUCAGUGUGCAAUUUGCAUGAAAUCUAUUUUUCAACUUCAAACUAGUAAGUGAGGUUCCAUAAAUCCGUAUCCAGAAAAAUAAAUUGUUUUUUUUUUGUUUUUUCUGGAAAGUAUUUUCUUAUAUUCAAUUUUGUAUUGGACAAGAAAAGAAUUCCCUUUGUGUAUGCGCGCCUCAAAAAGGUAUAGUACCCGAUUCCAUUACAUGCAUCGGGGUCAAUCGAAAAAGCCAGCAUUUCUUGGAAUACUGACUAUAAUGCUACCAAUAAUUGUACUAAUCCAACCGCAUAUUACCCAAAGGAAAGAAAAAAGAAAUAAGGAUUUCCCCUUUGCUUUGACAAUGAAAUUCUGCCCCCCGUCCCCUUCAUAAAAAGGGAGAGAUUUAUAUUGGAUCCGUCGGGACUGACGGGGCUCGAACCCGCAGCUUCCGCCUUGACAGGGCGGUGCUCUGACCAAUUGAACUACAAUCCCAGGGAAAUACGGGAUCUAGCAGAAAAUUUGAUUCUUUUUUAUCUCCGGAUCGGGUAUUUCUGAAGUACAAAGGGGUUAUAUCAUCUCAUGGUGGAUUGUCGAAUUAUUGGGCCGAGCUGGAUUUGAACCAGCGUAGACAUAUUGCCAACGAAUUUACAGUCCGUCCCCAUUAACCGCUCGGGCAUCGACCCAGGAAGAAUCAAUUUUAGACUUAUUGGUAAUCCAAGAUCAACUUCCUUUCGUAGUACCCUACCCCCAGGGGAAUUCGAAUCCCCGCUGCCUCCUUGAAAGAGAGAUGUCCUAAACCACUAGACGAUGGGGGCCCGCUUGACCAACGGCCAUCAUACUAUGAUCAUAGUAUGAUCAGUUUUUUGAAAUUGUCAAUAUAAUCGAAUGAUUCUAUCCGAGGGAUCUUUCCCCCUUUCAGAAUUGCAUAGAAUUAUUUUUUAUUCUGAUGAAUUAUUCAUUCUAAUCGCCAUUAGAAAUCUAAAAUCUAGUAGUAGUAUUUUUUUUAUUUUUGAAUUAUUUCAAUUGAAUUUAUUUCGAUUAUUUUAGUAUUUAGAAUUUUAUUUCGAUUUCUUUCACUUUCAUUUGAUUCAUUGUUAAGACGAGAUAUCCUUAUCUCCCUCCCACCAAGACAGGAAAUUAACAAAUGAGAAAUCUAGUAAGAUCAAGCAGAAAAUUGUUUUUUAUCCAAGAAUUUAGUUCAAGAGACAAGUAGAAUCUCUUCAUUCCAUGAUUCGAUGAAAUAUCUUGAAUUUUAUGUUGAAUUGCUAGGUGUAUGUACAUGUAUCAAUCAAGUGAAUUUUGUUCUGGUGGGAUCAAUUCAAUAAAAGAAAAAAAGCAAUUCGAGUCGGUCUUGAAACACUUCAUUGCAUUUUCUCCUAGACUUCCUAGGUAAAUCCAUGAGCCACUAGACACUAUGUAUCUACUGCACGUAUUUAAUGCAUAUAUACUUAUGUUUAUAAUAUAUGUACAUAUAGAUAUUUUAUCCACAUAGUGAAUAAUUCCGGAAUUAAAUAAAAAAGGCCCUUUUAACUCAGUGGUAGAGUAACGCCAUGGUAAGGCGUAAGUCAUCGGUUCAAAUCCGAUAAGGGGCUUUGUAAAACUCCAAUCUAGUAUUCAUAUUUAAGGGGAGAAUUGUAUUUUGAUUUGUAAUAAAAAAAGUAACUAACUGGAUAAUACAUUAUCAUUAUACUUAGUUAUAAAGUUGAACAUUUGUUUAGUCAAUUUUCAUUAUUAUGAAUUUAUGAAUAAUGAAAAGUCACUUCUUGAAUCACCCACCGAAUAUUCCUAUUUUCCAUUAUACCAACCAAAUCCAUUUGAAAGGUUAGAAAUCAACAAAAGAAAAAGGAAGUGGACCUGACCUAUUGAAUCAUGACUAUAUUCGCUAUUCUGAUAUUAAAAUUCGAUAGAGAUGAAAUUGGAGCAGUUGAUUUUUUUUUUAUUUCAUUUUUUUGUUUUGGACUGCACAAGAAUUUGUCGAUAUUUCCGAUUAAAUCUUCUUGUUACUAGAUUUUCUAUAGGAAAAAUUAUAGGAAUAAAUUGUUAUUCCUUUCCUCUACAGAUAAACCUUUCUUCCAAGUCACACCAUAAGAGCCAUUUAUUAUCUUUCUUUGAUUCUAGAUCAAAGAUUAAUUUCUAUCUAGAUUAUAUAUCUAUAUUAAGUAGAUUGUAGAUUUCGAUGUAUAUCUAUCAGAUCGUGGCUUCAUGUAACAAAUAUUUCAAUAUCGUUGCAUCCGGUAUUUUUGUUUUGUUCCAACAGUGUGAUGAAGAAUAGAUCCGAGAAAGAGACUUUCAUUUCCAGUCUCCUAGUUAUUUUAUUUAUUUUAUUGAAUUUUAGAUUUGCUAAAGGGAAAAAUAGUAGAUUAUCUCUUUUUCUAACAGACAAAAGAAUCUAAAAAUAAAUAUUUGCUCGAACUUUCUUUUUUCUUUCGAUCCGUGGAAAGAUAUACUCUGGGGUUUUAGAUUUAUUUAUAUGAAGUAUGAAGGAAAGGGACCGUUUGGUCCUUGAAGAGUUCUUUCAAAACAAGGGAUUGAUUGAAUUGUCUUAAUAAGAUAAUUCAUGGUUCAUAUGCUUAGUCAGAAGGAAUAAUCCAAUGGAGUUCAUGGAUUUACCUAGGUCAGUUUAUGGGCUAAUCAAUAAGGGAUUUUUAUCUUCGAAACCCAUUGGAAAGGGCAGCGCCAGAGAAAUCAUACAAAAAUGAUCGAAUCUUCGGACGCCCCGAAAAAGAUAUGAGGUGCUCGGAAAUGGUCGAAGUAGUUGAAUAGGAGGAUCGCUAUGACUAUAGCCAUUGGUAAGUUUACCAAAGACGAAAGUGAUUUAUUUGAUAUUAUGGAUGACUGGUUACGGAGGGACCGUUUCGUUUUUGUAGGCUGGUCCGGUCUAUUGCUCUUUCCUUGUGCCUAUUUCGCUUUAGGGGGUUGGUUCACAGGUACAACCUUUGUAACUUCAUGGUAUACCCAUGGAUUGGCCAGUUCUUAUUUGGAAGGCUGCAAUUUCUUAACUGCCGCGGUUUCUACUCCUGCUAAUAGUUUAGCACAUUCGUUGUUGUUACUAUGGGGUCCUGAAGCACAAGGAGAUUUUACUCGUUGGUGUCAAUUGGGGGGUCUGUGGACUUUUGUUGCUCUCCAUGGAGCUUUUGGCCUAAUAGGUUUCAUGUUACGUCAAUUCGAGCUU